UUCAGUUUAAACAUUCCAACGACAUCUGAAAUGAUCAUCGCGUAAAGUAAUCAUAUUGUAAUGUUAAACCCUCCCCACAUAGAAACCUUCCCAGUAUCAAUGAUCCACCACCCUGGCUACAGCUCAAAUACAGAGCCACAGAGAGAGAGAGAGAGAGAGAGAGAGCAAGGAUCUUGUAACCGAUGGUGUUACUUUUUAAGUAUUCAUAACAGCAAAGCUGUAGCAUAUAGCCUAGGAGAAAGAUGAAAACAACAAGGUAAAGGGUUCUAAAUAGCAAUUUCUUUGACAAAAAGAGUACCGGCAGUGUUUAUAAUCACCAUCCUCGCGGUAAAAUCAGGAUCAGCCGACCUCAGCUCAGCGAUGACUAACCCAGUGGGAGGAAAAACUUCUUACGACGCAUGAAACGAUCAAUUAAAGGGAGGCGGGGGGAAAACAUAGAGCCAGGAUACGGAAAAUGAACCAACUCCUCACAUCCAAAAGCCCAAAGCUAACACAUCCUCACGGUUCACGCCACCGGAUUUCCUCGCGAUUCAAGCACUUCGCGCACAAAAUUACAAAAAUGAGGUUAAACGCGACAGCUAGAAACGAACCCACGCAAAAUGACCGGAGACCCCUCGAUUUCGAAAGGAUCGCGAAGGCAUUGCCGAACUUAUCCUCACGACAGGUGAUCGGGCCGGAUAAUCGAGAAUUCCAUGGCACGUGAUCAUGAUUGGACCGUCUACGCCACCGCCCAUCGUUGGAGGGGGCCAACAACCUCAUUGGCCCUAGGUGGUGGAGGGGGGGCAGCCCUCGCCAGCCCGGGUGAGGCCACCGUUGGCCUAGGCAAGGUCGGGCGAGGCCACCGUCGGCCCAAGCAAGGUCAAGCAAGGCUCGCCCAAAUCUAGACAACGCCCUAUGGGUCACCUAGAUCUAAGUGAUGCCGGUCCUUGCCUGGGGCUGACCAAUGAGGCCUCACUUGGGGCUGGUGAGGUCUCGCCGGUCAUAGGGGAGGAUUGACGUCGCCCGAAUCUAGGCAACCCUCUUCUGGCGUUGAGGCAUCGCCUAGAUCUGGGCGAACCUCACUUAGGCCUAAGUUGAGGCGUCCUCCAAAUCUAGGUGAGCCUCAUCGGCCCUUGCCUAGGCUGGCAAUGGCCUCACCUGGACCGACGAGGGCCCUCCCCCACUUUGCUGCCUAAGGCUGACAACCUUAUUGGCCCCCUCUGACGAUGGGUGGUAGCGGCGUCAUGCCCAACACAAUCCCUGCCUUCAUUUUUCUUUGUUUUCAAUUUUGAUUUUUAAAUUGUUUUAGUUUUUAAAAAAAAAAUUUACUAUAAUAAACAUAAGAUUUGAAGAAAAAAGUAAUAUAAAAUGCCACGUAAGAUAAAUAAAUAAACUUAAAAAUGCUAUGUUAGCAUAUUCCGUUAGAUAAAUUGACGGUGUUAAUGCAAGGACUUGAUUGCACUAAUUUGACAAAUUUUAAGAUUUAAUUGCACUUUUUGAAAGUUUUAGGGUUCUACUGUACUUUUGUGACAAGUUUUAGGACUUAUAGUAUACAUAUCAUAUAUUUUUAUUAAGGGGAUCUUUGAUCUUUGAUAUGUGAUCGGGUAUAUUACGAUCACAAUAUUUUCUUAUUUAGUUGCUUAAUAAGUGUUUUUGAGGCACUUUUUAAGUAAAUCCUUUAUAAAUCUGGUCUUUAUACCUUUUUCAGACACUUUGUUGCUUCAGCUUGGAUCUUCAUAAAGAAAAACCUAGUGAAAAUUUCCAAGUAUUAUGCAAAGAAAGCAAUCGACCGGUAAACUUUUCGGGUUAGUACAUCAAUUUCUAAAUCUUUCAUAAAGGGGAAAGUUCAACGAGAUCCUCCCAUCAGGAAAUUUUUUUUGUUGUUAUAAAAAAUCACUUAAGUGCUCAUAUGACAAAUUAAAUAAGGUAUAGAUACUCUUUCUAAUAAAAAAAAUUUCAAGAUUCAACUAAACCAAUGAAAGGUUUAAGGCUUGAUUGCAUUUUUUGUAUAAGAUUUUGGACACAGUAUUUAUCUUUUUGGUCAUUGUAUCGUACCGAGUACAAGAGGAAAGAAGAAGGAUAGGCGGAUAUGUCACGCAUAUAUGGGUACCCGAAGGGAAGGUUAGGAUAAACAUCACCGGUCAGACCGGUUGCUUUUGGCCUUUCUUAUUUUCUUUCGUACUUUUGUUGCGUUUGGGCAAAGACGUACCUGGUUUCUUGUCUGACGAGUUCCAACCCAAACCACCAUUUAAAAAAAAAAAAAAUUAAAGAAAGAGUUGCGAGUCUCUCCUAGCUGUUUGACAUGGUAGGAAUAGUAAUAUGGAUUAGUAGUUGUUUAUUGCGAUAAUUAAGGGGGAAAGACACCAUAUAAUUAUGCCAAUCACGCUUGACUCCAUUCCUUUCACAUUAAUGAGAGGACUUCCUGUGCAAUUUUCCUGUUUUGCUUUCGUCUUGACUCAAAGUUGUCGGUCUCUUAUUUGCAUUUUCUUUCCUGCCCUCUUCCUUUUCUCAAUCUUCUCUCUGCUCAAAGUAUCACCGCAGGCCAUGGUCUCGCUUUACGGUCUCCCCUCCUUCUUUCUUUCAUUUUCCUUCGUUUUUCUAUCGCAAUUCUCAAACUUCAUUGACACUCAAGCUCAAGAUUAUGAUUACCUAGCUGCCACGAUUUCAACUCAGUGGGUGAAUAACGUAAUAGCUACUCACGUCACUCGACAUGUAGAUGGAUCGAUUGUGCAGGCAAUUCUACUCCGAGGCAAAGGAGGUUCUGGCCCUGCCUACGCUUGCAGCUUCUACUGUAAUGGUAAUUGCAACACUUUGCCUCUUUGUUGUUUUCAUCGUCACAGUUUAUGGUAGUGGCGUAACUGUUGAAUACACUAUUCCACAAGCAGUGUGAUCUGCCAAUAGAAACAAUCCUGUAAAGAUCGAAGCAACAUUGAAGCUCAAGUCCGAAGGUGAUUUGGUGUUGAAACAUGCUGAUGGUACGGUUGCUUGGUCCACAAAUACUUCUGGAAAGUCCGUUGUAGGCUUGAACUUGACAGAUUUGGGGAACCUCGUGUUGUUUGGUAAGGACAAUGUGGCUGUUUGGCAGUCUUUGAUGAGCUAACCGACUUGCUUUGUCCUUAGAAAAAAGUUGANNNNNNNNNNNNNNNNNNNNNNNNNNNNNNNNNNNNNNNNNNNNNNNNNNNNNNNNNNNNNNNNNNNNNNNNNNNNNNNNNNNNNNNNNNNNNNNNNNNNNNNNNNNNNNNNNNNNNNNNNNNNNNNNNNNNNNNNNNNNNNNNNNNNNNNNNNNNNNNNNNNNNNNNNNNNNNNNNNNNNNNNNNNNNNNNNNNNNNNNNNNNNNNNNNNNNNNNNNNNNNNNNNNNNNNNNNNNNNNNNNNNNNNNNNNNNNNNAUCGAUACAUGAAGUGGGCUCGGAUGGCAUUGAGAGUGUAUGUAUACAAUUGAUUGGUGAGCAUAAAGAAGUGCAAAUCUUUUCAUAGGGUUUGGCGAGGACUGUGCCUAUCCAACAAUGUGCGGGCGAUAUGGAAUUUGUUCCAAUGGGCAAUGUAAUUGUGAAAGCUAGUACGAGCACCUAGAGGGGAGUGAAUAGGUGUAAAAACAAAUUUCCCGAGAGAAGUGUGCAACACUAAUCAACAAUGGAUUAUGAAAAGGAAAUUAGACUCUUGUAAACAAAUUGAGUUACGAUCAAAGUAAAAGAGCGUAGGAGAGAGAAUAAGAACAUAGGGUUUAUAAUGUCGGCUUAAUCCAAGCCUACGUCCACUCUUCCGCACUGACAGCUCACUGGCUGGAUUUCACUAUGAAUUAAAAGAGUUGUUAUAGUAAAGCUCUUCCUUGAUUCCACUGUGUAGAGACUCUGCUACACUUCCUCAAGGUCUCACAAAGAUAUAAACUCUCUUUUAAGUACAAGAUUUCGCUCAACAAUUGAAUUGACUAAGAAACAAGGAGCUUUAGACUUUGGAAUUCUUCUAUCGCGCACAUACUUGAACAACUGGAAUGUCUUCCUUAUAUACUCUUUCAUGCCAUCACACCCAUCGACACUUACCAAAGGAGUUCUUCCAAUCUACCCGUUGGACAGAAUCAAUUAAGAAGAUUUCGAGUUAUUUAAGGAAUAUGACGAUAGCCCACCAAACUUGCUCGCCCAUACAAUCAGGAUCUAGGUUUCCAUAAGUAGAACCUUCCAAGUAUACUUUGCCAAUCAACAGAUCCAAAAUCCCUGAAUCAAUCUCAAUUUAAUUAAUGGAUUCCAACAUGUUGUAUCCAGCCAAGAGAUCUUCUUCAGUCGAUAGAAUCAAAUCCUCAACGAAACACUCAAUUCUGGAUAAGCCUUCUUUGACGGUCUAGAAACUGUCAAUGAGGAUAGACUUUGGGUCUUGAAUCUGACAGUCCGGAGGUUUUCAGAUUUUGAUGGAAGAGUCUACAAGUCUUUAGACUAGAUUGAUGGAAACGUUUUGUCAACUUCAAAACACUCAAGGAAGUUUUCUCCAACAAUCUCUCCCUUUUUGAUGGUGACAAAACUUUCCUACAGAUUUGGAUAACUUUGACCUGCAAAACAAUACUCAAGCAAACAUGGAUAUUUCACAAAAGAUAAUUGGCUUAGUAAAGAUAACAUUAAAAUCUGCAUCCACAGAAAAUAGGUUAGUCCUGUAAACGAGCAACUAUCUUUGCCAUAAAAUACUAGUAGUGCUUAAGAUAAACAAAUAGUCAAAUCCAAAUCUAGUCCAAAUCCAAACAGUCAAACACAAAAGUAAAGUCAAUCAAAUACAAAAGUCACAAAAGUCAAGAGUUCAAGAGUUUAAAUCUCAAAUCUGCACGACAUCUCUCCCCCUUUUUGUUAGCAUUAAAAAGGUAGAGAUGAAACAAGAAUGGAAUUAUGAUUGCUUGGGAACACAAACAAGCUGGAAAUCUCUCAUUGACUGGACAAUCCCUUCCAGCUUUUUCAAAUCUUCUUUCAGCUGAGUCACAUCUUCACCCUUGGCAUUUACUUGAACUUGAAGAGCAAGGGCAUGGAGUUGAUCAUGCAAAGAAAUUGAAGAGGUUUGACCUGCAUUUUGCAAGUUCUGUACUUUACAUCCCAGAGUAUAAAUUUGGCCUCGCAUCUCCAAGAGAACAUCAAGCACUCUGUGAAAGUCUGCUGAAUUGUCAGUCUGAGUACUGGCUUCUGCUCGAUCAGAUGGUGUAUUGGUAGAUGAUGGGCAAGUUAGCAUGAUCACGCAGAUUGGGCGAUGAAACCUCAUGGCCUUUCUCAGGAAAUUGAGAAGCGUAGAUGUCUUCUGGAUCUGCUGGAGAACGACUUACUCCUUCACUGGUGGCAGCAAUUGAGGACAUACCUCUUUUCUCAGGAUCUCCCCCUGUUUCAAUGCCUUUAGGCUGUGAGAAGUACUCCUCAUGUUCUGCUUCUUCUUGUCCUCCUCUACCCUCUUCUUCCUCUUCCACAAUCCUUUCCUCCUCUGCUUCUUUCUCCAAUGAUUCUCUCUCUCCAGUCCUCUGUUCAAUCUCAUCCUUGUCUUGUUCCUGUCUCUCCUUUGUCUCUGGAACAGAACGACUCAAGUUCUUCAAUGUAAGAGCAUAAAUUGUGAUAUCAUCCUCAUCCUCUUCAUCCUCCAAGAUGAGUGCUCUUCUUUUAUUGGAUGAAGCAACCAUAGGCUCCUUCCUUUUCCGCUUUGCAGCCGAAGAGACUGGGUGAGUCUUGACAAGGGUUUUCACCUUGAAUUGCUCCAAAGCCUUGUCGAGUUCCUUCAGACGCAUUUUAGAGACCAUUUUCAGUCCCACCACCAUUUGAUCGCAUGUUCGAACAUAAAGAAUUCGGAGAGGCUGAAUGUUCAAAUGUCUAAAUAACUUUGUGACAAAUGCUGAGUAAGGAAGUUGGCCAUUGUCCUUCACCAUCGUUUUGUACAUGUAGAACAUAAUAGUGUGUGGAAGAGAGAACUUUUUGCCAGCGUUGAUGGCAUACAUCAGCUUUGCCUCUGAGUUUGAAAUGUCGAUUUUUGAAGUUGAUUUGGGUCUGAGGUAGUUGAUCACUAUCUUGUGAAGCAAAAUGUUUGAGGCAUUCAUCCUUGAAUAUGAAAUCUUUCCUUCCGUCAUUCUAUCCUGAACAAGCUCUAUCAUCGCAUGACCAAUAGACACAAUGAUUGGUUGUUAUCUUCCUCUUUCAACCCCAAUCACAUCAGCCAAUGUAUUCAUGUCAACCACAUAAUCCUGAUCUCGAACACUGAAAGAGAAUCUAUUCGUAUCCAAGAAACUGAGAUUCAAAUAGAAGUAAGUAGUAAGUUCAGCAUGAGCCUCUGUCGUUUCAAAACAAAACCGUUCAAGUUGAAGAAGAUUGAAUUUCUCUCGCAGAUUAGCAUUCAGAGAAUCAAGAAAAUCAAAGUCCACACUUCUAGGGUUAAUCACACCACGCUUUAGCAACUUAGAGUACAGUUGCUUGUGUUCCUCCGAACGAAAUAGAUCUGUCCUUUUGCUUCGGAUUUUCGCUGCAACACCCAUUCUAGGUUUAAAUUGAGUGUACAUCCUAUCAUCAUCAUUCCCAUUCGGUUGACUCAGCCCUCCAACACGUGGAUCACUUGGGAUAUUUGCAAAUGCUUCUUCUACUGACCCCGCAGGGGCAAUUCCUAAUCGUUCCAUUGUGCGUAAAAAGUAGGUUUCAUUUCGAUACCAUUUGUCUUUCAAAAAUUCAUCAAUGUAGUUCAAAGGAGUAUCGUCCCUUUUCAAAGCACGGUAAAGCUUAAAAGUAAAAGCUGGCUUUUGAGUUCUUACAGAUUCUGUAUCUUCAAUGAUUUCUUCAUCUUCUCGAUAUUCAAUAUUCUGAGGUCUAGAUGGAGGAGAUGGACGCUGUUGAGAAUGUUGUGGGCUCUGCUGUUGUCUAGGAGAUUUUUCUUCCUCGGUGAGAUCAAAAUGUGUAGGUCCCUCACGCAUUUGCAGUGGUCUCCUAUUCGCGAUCCUCGAAGACUUUCUUUACGAUGACAUUUUUCACAGUUUUUGAGAGAUUCCAAGCUUGUUUCGCAAGAAAGAUGAAAACUUUCGAGGAUUAAAAAAUAGAAGAAGAUAGAAGUGGAAGAUUUGUGCUCUCUUAGGGUUUUUGUGAGUAAAACGAAGAAGAACCAACAGUAUAUAAGGCAGUCGAAGUGAGGCAUAUGGAACGUCGUAAAAAGGAAAUAUAAAAAUGCCUUUAAAAAAAAAUAACUGCCUUUUCAAAAACCGAAUAACUAUCAUUUCAAAAAUAACUUCUUUUUUGAAAAGGAAAGAUUGCAAUAAUCACGAAAACUAGGAAAUAGCAUCAAUCAAUUACGGAUAGAUGAUCGUACAUUUUCGAGAUUUGAUCUGAGAGAUAAGUUUCUAAAAUAGAAGUAACUUACAGUUGUAAAUCUCGAUCGUCUGAGUCUGAGUGUCUUUAGACUUUCAAUCCUAAGUCUAAACUUCCUCAGGCUUUAAGAUAUUGAGUUUGGAACAAAUAACUUCAAAUUAAUUUUUCUCCAAAAGCUUUGUAAAUAUAUCUGACAGUUGAUUCUUUGAAUUAAUAAACUAAAUCAAAACUUCUCCAUUUUGAACAUGAUCUCUAAUGAAAUUAUGUCGAAUCUCUAUAUGUUUUGCUUUUGAGUGAAGAUUCAGAUUCUUGGUAAGAUUGAUUGCGCUAGUGCUGUCACAUUUGAUCUCAGUGCAUGAAUCUUCAAUUCCAAAGUCUCUUAGUUGUUGUUUUAUCCACAGAAUUUGUGAACAAUAACUUCCAAGAGCUAUAUAUUCUGCUUCUGCCGUCGAAAGAGCUACGGUACUUUGCUUCCUUGAAAACCAAGACACCAUCCUGUUUCCAAGUAAUUGACAGGUGCCCGAAGUGCUCUUUCUAUCAACUCUGCAUCCUACUAGAUCAGCGUCUGAGUAUCCAAGAAGUGUGAAGUCUCCUUAUUUAGGAUACCAGAGACCUAAAUUUGAAGUUGAGGCAAUGUAUUUGAUAAUACGCUUUGUAGCACUUAAAUGAGAUUCUUUAGGGUCUGAUUGAAAUCUGGCACAAAUACAAAUGCUAAACAAAAUGUCAGGUUUAGAAGCAGUAAAAUAAAGAAGUGAACCAAUAAUACUCCUGUAUAGCUUCUGGUCAACUUUCUUUCCUCCUUCAUCUUUGUCCAGCUUCAAAGAACUUGACAUUGGUAUAUCAGUCUUUUUGCAAUUCUCCAGUCCAAACUUUUUAACAAGUUCUUUAGCAUAUUUUUCUUGAUGAAUAAAGGUCCCCUCCUUCAGUUGUUUCACUUGAAGCCCGAGAAAGAAGAUUAGUUCACCCAUCAUGCUCAUUUCAAAUUCAUCCUGCAUAGACUUAGAGAAUUUCUUAUACAGAUUUUCAUUAGAAGAUCCAAAAAUAAUAUCAUCAACAUAAAUUUGAACAAGUAAAAAACUUUUGCUUUCUCUUUUGAUAACAAUGUAGUAUCUACUUUACCUUUGACAAAACCAUUUUGAAUUAAAAACUUACUUAGUCUAUCGUACCAAGUUCGAGGUGCUUGCUUUAAACCAUAUAGAGCCUUUUUCAGUCUGAAUAUAGAGUUCGGUUCCCUUAGAUCUUCAAAAUUGGGUGGUUGUUCCACAUAGACUUCCUCUUGAAUAAAUCUAUUUAGGAAAGCAUUUUUGAUGUCUAUUUGGAAUAACCUGAAAUUCUUAUGACAAGUAAAAGCAAGUAAUAAUCUGAUUACUUCUAACCUUGCUACUGGCGCGUAAGUCUCAUCAUAGUCUAUCCCUUAUUCUUGCGUAUAUCCCUUGGCCACGAGUCUUGCUUUGUUUCUUAUGACUUUUCCUUUCUUGUUCAUUUUGUUCCUGAAAACCCAUUUAGCUCCAAUGAUGGAUUUUCCUUUUGGUUUAGGAGUCAAUUCCCAGACAUCAUUGAUACUGAAUUGCCUAAGUUCUUCUUGCAUAGCUUCAAUCCAGCUUUCAUCAGUUAUAGCUUCUUCUAUGCUUUUGGAUUCUAUUUCAGAAAUAAGAGCCACAGCACUAGACUCUUCAUGUCUUUUGAAUCUUGUGCGAAUUCCUUUAUUAAUAUCACCAAUAAUGAGAUCUUUGGGAUGACUGGACUUAUGCUUCCAGUUGCUGGUUGAUUUGUCAGAUUGUUGAUCAUUUUUCUCAUUUGAAUCUUCAAUUAUCAUUUGUUGCUGGUCUUCUGAAGUCUGAGCUGCUUCUGGAGAUUUAGAAUUUGUAGAGUCUAGAGCAGGUUCAGAUUCUUCAAGUUAAGUCUGAAUCGAUUGAUUUUGCAUAAAGUCUUGAAAUUUGACAUUCAUCGAUUCCUCCAUAGAUUGAGUCGUUUUGUUGUAUACUCUGUAAGCUUUGUUUGUAAUAGAAUAUCCAAGGAAGAUACCUUCAUCUAAUUUUUCUUCAAAUUUACCAACUCGAUCAUUUGCAUUUUUUUAAUAUAAACAUUUACAUUCAAACACAUGAAAAUACGAAACAAUUGGCUUCUUUCCUUUGAAUAACUCAUAGGGAGUUUUCUCUAGAAUAAGCCUUAAAAAGACUUUAUUAAUAAUAUAGCACGCUGUAGAAACUGCUUCAGCCCAAAAACGAGAAGAGAUGUUACUUUUAAUUAAAAGAGUUCUAGCCAUUUCCUGCAGCGAUCUAUUCUUUCUUUCAACAACUCCAUUUUGCUCUGGAGUAUAUGGUGAAGAGAACACGUGCUGAAAACCAGAUUCAUCACAGAAUUUUGCAAAGUCUUGAUUUUCAAAUUCACCUCUAUGGUUUGUCUGUAUACUUGAAAUAACAUAUCCUUUAUCAUUUUGGACAUUUUUAGCAAACUUUAUAAAAUAAGAAAAUGUUUCAGACUUGCUAGGAAAUAUACCUAAGUGAAUCGUGAAUAGUCAUCCACAAAUAGUAAGCAAUAUUUCUUACCUCCAAUGCUCUGAGUUCUGGUUGGUCCAAAAAGAUCCAUGUGCAAGAGCUAUAGCACACGAUUAGUGCAUACUUGAUUUAUUGGUUUGAAUGAGUUUUUUACCUGUUUUCCCAACACACAUGGUGUGCAUAGAUCAGACUUUAGGUAUAUCAGUUUGGAUAGUCCACGAACAAGCUUCUUUGCUGAGAUUUUGGCUAUUUGCUUCAUGUUGAUGUGCCCAAGUUUUCUGUGCCAUAAGUUUGCUUCCUCUUGAAUUGAGAUUAGAUAUUGGCUUUGCCCCGUGAAAGACUGAGAGGAAUCUUUAUUGGUUCCUAAACAUAUUUCUUCUUGAAAGUUAAUUUUGAAACCAGUGUCGCACAGUUGACUGAUACUCAGCAAAUUGUAGUUGAGUCCUUCCACUAAGGAAACAUUACUGAUUGUGAUGCUUCCAAUCUUUACAGUUUCGUAUUCCACAAUUCUUUCUUUGCUAUUUCCUCCAAAAGAAACUUUUCCACCAUUAACUUGUACAAGUUUUAUGAAGCAAUUUGAGUCUCCUGUCAUAUGUCUUGAGUAUCCACUAUCCAAGUACCAUUUAACAUUUUUCUUGAUAGUGACCUGCAUUUAGAAAAAAGACUCAAGCUUUCUUUGGUACCCAUAUUUUCUUGGGUCCAUUGGUGUUAGUGUAAUAUACAGUCUUUGCCUAUACCUUCUUAACAUGUUUUCAAAUCAUAGGACAUUAUUUCUCAAAAUGAUCUAAGCUAUUGCACUUAGAACAUUUAAGAGCACUGCGGCCUACAGGUUUUACAAAAAAAAAUUGGAAAUGAUUUUUGUAAGAAUCUCUUGUAGGUCUUUGCUUAAUUCUUUCCUUUACUUUAGGAAAAUCAAUUAGAGGAAUGGUUUCAGCAGUCAUUCCUAAUCCUGAUUUGUUGAAGUAAGGUCUUUAUGUUGAAAGGAUUUUUUCAAGUUUCUCAGAUCCUAUAAAAAAUCUUUUAAAGAUAUUUGAGAUAUCAUUUUUCAAGAAUGCAUUUUCUUUUGAAAGAUUGUCUGCAUUUUCUUUCAAAGUAGUAACACUUUUGUCUAAACUUUUGACCUUUUCUUGCCAAACAUUUUCCUGUUGUUUCAGUGUAGAAUUUUCCCUUUUAAGUUCUGAAAUCCUUUUAAGAGAGGUUUUGAGACUAAGACACAAUUAAUCAAUGUAUCUAGAAACUUUAGUAGGGAUUUUUAAAUUACUUACCUCGAUUUCACUAUCUGAGUCUGAGCCUGAAUCUGAAUCUGAGUCUGAUUGUGCCAUGAGACAAAUAUUGGCAUACUCAUCAUCACUUUCCUCACAUUCUAUAUCACUCCAAGUUUUUGCUUUAAGUGUCUUUCGAUAUUUCUCAGUUUUUCCUUUCUUUUUCUUCAAAAGGGGACAGUUGGGUCUGAUAUGUCCAUUUUUCUUGCAUUCAAAGCAGACUACAUCUUUAUUAGAUUCAUCAUCCUCAACUGACUUAGUUUGUUGCUUUUGAAAACUUUGUUUCUUUAGAUUGAAUCUUCUCUCCUUUCUGUUUAGUUUUCUGAAUCUUCUUAUCAUGAGAGCAAGCUCUUCAUCAUCUAUAUUGUCUUCAGAAUUUGUGACAUCAGAAUCAUCAUUAGAUUUUAAUACAAUAGAUUUCUUACCUUUAGGAUCUUCAUCUUUGUUGAUUUGCUCCACUUCAUAAGACCGAAGAGUCCCAACCAAUUCGUCAACAGAAAGUGGCAUGAUUCUUUGUGUCUCCUUUAUUGAGGUCUUUAUGUGAUUCCAAUCCUUGGACAGUCCACGCAGUAGCUUGUUUACUUUCAUAGGUCCAGAAAUUGGUUGACCUUGAUAUUCCAGACCAUUCACGAUUUUUGUAAAACGACUAAACAUGUCAAUGAUAGAUUCUCCUGAUUUCAUUUUGAAUGCUUCAUAUUGACCGAGCAGAAUGUUGAUUCUGGCUUCUUUUACUCGAUCAGCUCUUUCAUAGGUGAUAUGUAAUCUAUCCCAGACUUCUUUAGCUGUUUCACAAGAAGAUAUUCUGUUAUAUUCAGUAGGAGAUAAUGCACAAUAUAAAUAAUAAAUUGCUUUUGCAUCAAGAGCUUUUCUCUUGGUUAUCUCUUCUUGAGUCAUUUCACUAGACUCAACAGCUUCUUUUCCCCUUUCUGAGACUGGUGCAGCUUUAGGAAUGAUUCCUUUGUCUACCACUUCCCAUUCCAGAGGAUCCUUUGAUCUUAGGAUUGCCUUCAUCUUGUUUUUCCAUAUAUUGUAUUCAUUUCCAUCAAAAUAAGGCGGUCUGGUAUUGCUUUGCCCUUCAAUCAGACCUGGAGCCAACAUACUAGUCAUGGAUCUUUAACUCUAAUGUAAAACACUUCAACUUGAGUGAGUACACAAGCUCUGAUACCAAUUGUGAAAGCUAGUACGAGUACCUAGAGGGGGUGAAAAGGUGUAAAAACAAAUUUCCCGAGAGAAGUGUGCAAUACUAAUCAACAAUGGAUUAUGAAAAGGAAAUUAGACUCUUGUAAACAAAUUGAGUUAUGAUCAAAGUAAAAGAGCGUAGGGAAGAGAAUAAGAACACAGGGUUUAUAGUGGUUCGGCUUAAUCCAAGCCUACGUCCACUCUUCUGUACUAACAGCCCACUGACUAGAUUUCACUAUGAAUCAAAAGAGUUGUUACAGUAAAACUCUUCCUUGAUUCCACUGUGUAGAGACUCUGCUACACUUCCUUAAGGUCUCACAAAAAUAUAAUCUCUCUUUUGAGUACAAGAUUUCGCUCAACAAUUGAAUUGACUAAGAACAAGGAACUUCAGACUUUGGAAUUCUUCUAUCGCACACACACUUGAACAACUGGAACGUCUUCCUUAUAUACUCCUUCAUGCCAUCACACCCGUGGGCACUUACCAAAGGAGUUCUUCCAAUCUACCCAUUGAACAGAAUCAAUUAGGAAGAUUUCGAGUUAUUUAAGGAAUAUGACGAUAGCCCACCAAUCUUGCUCGCCCAAACAAUCAGGAUCUAGGUUUCCAUAAGUAGAACCUUCCAAGUAUACUUUGCCAAUCAACGGAUCCAAAAUCCCUGAAUCAAUCUCAAUUUGAAUAAUGGAUUCCAACAUGCUGUAUCCAGCCAAGAGAUCUUCUUCAAUCGAUAGAAUCAAAUCCUCAACGAAACACUCAGUUCUGGAUGAGCCUUCUUCGACGGUCUAGAAACUGUCAAUGAGGAUAGACUUUGGGUCUUGAGUUUGGCAAUCCAGAGGACUUCAAACUUUGAUGGAAGAGUUUGCAAGUCUUCAGACUAAACUGAUGGAAACGUUUUGUCAACUUCAAAACACUCAAGGAAGUUUUCUCCAACAGUAGUUGUCUGGCUUCGACUAGGGGAAUGAGCUAUUUCCAAUAAGUAGAUGAUAAGCGGCCUAAUUUUGAGUGUUCUAAGAAUGUUCCAUCGUCUUGUUGGGCUUAAAAAAAUCAAACUCUUCUGGAGCUCAAAAAUGUCAUGUAUUUCAGUUUCACUCUAGAUCUUGAGGAUAUAGAUGCUUUAUGUUGCAAAGAGGCCUGCACAAAGAAUUGUUCCUGCAAAGCAGCUAUAUUCCAAUAUCAUUCUAAUCGCACUAGCGACAAUUAUUACUUACUAACUCAAGUGUUAUUACUUAUGAACGUUGAUAAGAAAACAUUUUUUAUAAUUCUACUACUUACCUUAAAGUACAAAAUAUGGCCAAUGAAGCUCCUUAUACUUCGGUUGACAAUUGUAUGAGCAACCGUUUCCUUGUAAUACCCGGAUCUNNNNNNNNNNNNNNNNNNNNNNNNNNNNNNNNNNNNNNNNNNNNNNNNNNNNNNNNNNNNNNNNNNNNNNNNNNNNNNNNNNNNNNNNNNNNNNNNNNNNGAGCAAAGGAGGAUUACCUUGAUCAAGUACUUGGAGUGCCACUAGAUUCGCAUACAAUGAUUGAAGACCAUCACAGAUGGAUUCAGUAAAAAGCUUGUCGAGGUGGUUUUGGUUUUGUUUCGAAGGUACUCUGAGUGACAGCAUAAAAGUUGCAGUAAAACGCCUUGAUGGUUUUGGAUAGGUUAGGAAAUCCUUUCUAGUCGAAGUUGAGACUAUUGAUAGCAUCCAUCACGUGAACUUGGUAAGACUCAUCAGAUUUUGCACUGAGAAAUUCCAUAGGCUCCUCAUCUAUGACUACAUAUCGAAUGGGUCUCUAGAUAGAUGGAUCUUUCACAAAUCCAAUGAAUGUGUUCUCUACUAGGGGUGUGCAAAAUACCCGGGAACCGCCUAGAACCGGACCGGAACCACCCGAAACCGGCGGUUCUUGAGGGAACUGGUCCGGUUCCUGGUUCCUAUUUAUGGGAACUAGUGGGUACCAGUCCAGUUCCCGGUUCCGUGGGCGAAUUUGCCUGCCCGCCCACCUGGACCAAACCGGAACCUUUUUAAUAUUAAAAAAAAAUUACUAAAAGAAACCCUACGUCUUGAGUCUCAUCUCUUCGUCUUCGGCUCUCUCUCUCUCUCUCUCUGUCUCUUCCUCAGUCUCUUCGUCUUCGAUUCCUCCCUGAGCGUUGACGCCGUCGUCGUCGCUCCUCCUCCGCCGCUGUCUGCCCCCUCGCAUCAGUCGCCACCCGCCACAGCCACUGCUCCUCCACCUCUGCUAUCCGCCCCCUCGCUGUUGUUCGCCCCCUUACUUAGUCUCUUCAUCUUCGAUUCCUCCUCGAGCGUCAACACCGCCAACACUGCUGUCCACUCCCUCGCGUCGAUCGCCACCAGCCAUAGCCGCUACUCCUCCGCCUCUACUGUCCAUCUUGACUGAGCCCCUUUUUCCAUCACUCAACAAGGUACGGUCAUCGGCUUCUAGCUUGCCUCUCGAUUCAUCGUCCGCUUGCGAACUUGUACUUCGAUUCGAUUACCCAAUAGGUCGGAACGUAGUGAAGUUCGAGUCUUUGUUUUGGGAAUCGAUCGCUAUUCAUCUUGGUGCUUUGUCUUCAACAGUGCUCAUGCUUGAAUUUACAGAAUCCUAGGUUGCUUUUCCCUUUUGUUGUGUUUUUUGAUUUUUUUUGUAUGUCUGAUCAUUGGUAAAUUCUAUGCUCAGGGUCUGAGAAGGAGAUAAAGUUUUGAGCUUUUUUAAUUUUUAAUUUUUUUUUUCAAUUUUGUUCUUCUUCCUUCUGGGUUAGGAAACUCACUUCACCUCCUAAAUUUGACUGUACUGCUAGGUUGAACUACCCUUUAGAUAUAUGGUGUGGAGGGAUGGGAUGAUAAAUUGAAGGGCUCUGUUUUUGUUAUCAUUACUCCUUUUUCAUAUGUUAUGCUCGAUUUUAUCAGUUUUGGCUUAUGUGAUUUGCGUGUUUGCAGAUAAUAUACUUGGCAAUAGUUGGAGGAACUUAUUUCAUUGUGGCAAAAUCAUGCUUCAGCUAUAUUCCUGGAUAUUAUUUAAGUGGAAUUCAUAGGUACUGUUUGAAAGGAUUUAUACAAUUUCUGUUAUGAGUCAAUUUGCUGGUGUGAUCAAGGACAAACACUUGGUUUGAUAGCCCAAUCAUCUUGUGGUGGGAAAUAUUUUUGGCUGUUGGCAGAGAAAUGGGAAGUCACCAUUUCACCUCAGAAGGCUAUUAGCUACAUUCAACUCUUUUCUGGAAGAUGCUUUUCUUUUCAUUUUUGAUGGCCCUUUGCGAAUUUAGAUUCACUUGAGUUGUUGUUAUAAGUAGUUUUCUGUGCCUGAUACUAAUGCAUGGCAAGUGGGUUGACAAUUGAUAGUUGUGUGUGUUUUUUAUGAGCAAGAUAUAUACUGCUACAUCGGUGUAGUUUCAGGGACUUAUGUGGCCACAUGAGAGUUUUGAUUGUCCUCGAUGAUGUGAAAAAUGUUUGUCAUGUCAAGAAACUCAUCGGAGAUAUCUUUGGUUGCUUUGGAUAUGGAAGUACGAUCCUUGUAACCUUGUCUAAUAUUCUCUACUUGAUGAGUUUGUUCCACGUACUUAAAUUUGGUUUUUCUUUCUUCGGCUUGCUUUGAUGUCACGUAGUUGUUUUAUGUUGAAAACCAAAAUUAUUUCGCGUCAAGAUUGGUUCACAGAUGGAUCCAUGCAACAAACGGGUAGAUCCCAAUUCCAAUUUUUCGAAACCGGUCCUUAGCAAGCGGUUCCUAAUUUUAGGUUGGGAACCGCCCGCCCGGACCAUGCAUACCCUUAUUCUCUACUGGCAACAAAUGAAGAAGAUCAUUCUUGAUAUAGUGAAAGGACUAAAUUAUCUUCAUGAAGAUUGCGGACAGAAGAUAUUUCACCUAAACAUUGAAUCCCCAAAUAUCCACUUGGAUGGAAAUUUCAAUGCUAAGGUUGCUGAUUUUGGAUUAUUCAAGUUGAUAGACAAAGACCAAAGCCAUGCCAUCACAACCAUGAGAGAAACUCUCAGUUAUGUGGCCCUCGAGUGGUGGAGUAAAGCAAUCACUGAAAAGAUCGGCGUAUAUAGUUUUGGCAUAGUAAACUUAUAGAUAGUGCAUAGGAGAAAAAUCUUGGAUCGCUCUUUAGAAGAAGAAGACAUGCAUUUACUGAGCCUUUUUAAAAGAAGGUAAAAGAGGAACACUUAUUAGACAUUAUGGAUAAGUCUAGCGAUGACGUGCAACUAAAUGGACCAACGGCGGUGAAUAUGAUGAGUAUUGUUGCAUGGUGCUUGCAAGGAGACUAUACAAAGAGGUCCUCCACGUCUAUGGUCAUCAAGGUGCUAAAGGGCAUCAUAGAAGUUCCAGGGGACCUGGAUUACGACUUCACUACUCAGGCUUCCACCAAUUAAGAAGCAAGAUUCAGUUGAAUGGAUGUCGAAUUCAAUGAUGCCUCUACAUUACUACCCUCAAUCCUAAGUGGUCCAUGAUAACGCUACAAAGUCGUAAGAACUUUUCUUCCCAAUAUGUCAAGUGGUAGAACAGGUGAUUGAAUUUUUCAAACUAUGAGGACUCCAUCUUGUCAUUCUCUUUUUAGGCCCAAAAAAAGGCCUUUGGCAUGAUAUCACUUCUCAUUUUCACUUUGCCAAUGAGUGGACUCCACCAUACUUUGCAAAGGAUUGAGUUGGUUACGGCAUUGCAAUUCGGUUUUAUUGCUUACGUGGAAAUUAGUUGUGCUCAAGCUUGUUGUGUGCUAGUCUAGGGAAAAGGGGAACUUGCCGAACCAUUUGUGCAAAAAGCUGUUAAAAGACUAGUCAACUGCCGAUAAUUUCUUUUGGUAGCUUUGCCAUAUUGUGGAUGUCGCGACCCAAUCUCGCCGCCCCUCGAAAAGUAUCCAAGGAGGGGAAAGGUCGGAUUUAGGGGUAUUUGAUCUCGAGAUCGCGAGCUCUCCCAAGCUCGUACCCCGCGUGACAGUAGGUUUAUUAUGCGAUCUAGUUGUUUAUAACAACCUAAAAAAAAUAGGCAGGAGUCGCUACUAGCCUUAUUUUGGGGGUCGGCUAGAAACCCAAUCGAGGGUCGGGAGUAUUCCCUCGAUUCCUACGUAACCAGAUAUCUACGUUCGGGGACUUGGGUUACGCUAAUUUUGCUAUUAACGCCCUUUCGGUACCUAAACAGUAUGUUGUGUUUUUUCUAACAUAUUCAUGCAUUUCUUUUUAUGUUUUCAGGAUCGUCAAUUCUAUACUAAAUGAUCAUGCGUGGUGAAUUACUUUCAUUAUAUUCUACUCUAUUCUAUUCUUAAGAAAUGAAAGGAAAACAUUCAAUGAAAAUUAAAUUGCAAUUCUAAAGAAUAUAAAAGAGAAAACAAUUGAGAAAGAAAGGAAACCCGCAACUCGUCGGGCUUUAUACAAUGCAUGGAACCCGAGACAUGUGUCGGGAAAAAUGAGCAUUACAUGAUAACGGUCGGAGUGGACAUCGACCUCCACCAUCUUUACGCAUUACGCCUUCUCCAUCCCUGUCCUAAUCUAAACCUAAUCUAAGAAACAAGGAUCCCUUGCCUCAUCUUAUAUGACUAAGACAACGCAUAGAAAUCAUUAUUAUAACGAAUAGACAUAGGCAUCAGACAUGAAUAUGAAUCUAGCAAAUUCAAGUCACAAACAGGACAAAAUGCGAGGCAUGCUUAAAGGUUCGUAAAAUCAUCUAGACAAUGUACAAAAAUGUGAAACUUGCACAUGACAUAAGGUUGAAUGCGAAAAAAGGUUUGGGUAAACAUUUAACCCUAAAUCAGAAUGCAAAGAAGUCACACAAGUCAUUAAUAUUGCAAAGUGACUUGGAACUAAGAAUGUUAUGCUUGACAAUUUUCAAUUGCAAUUAGCCAAAUGGGUGCAUGAUAUUCGCAUCAAACAAGGUUCAAAUAUGAUGUCCCAUGCAUUAAUGCGAAACUUGUAACACGUGUUUCAAAUGUCAAGAAGACAAUGACGCAUGAUUUGGCCCUUAAAACAAAGAACCAGCAAAAUCAAUACACAAAGAAACAACAAAAACAGCACCUCAAUGACACGACUAAACAAUUUCACACACCAGGACAUAUGAACAGCAGGUAAAGAAAUAUCGAUACUAAAGAACAACAUAACUCUCGACAUCUUUACAAACAAAAACACAGAGUUUGGAUCGGUAGAACACAAAUAAGCUAUUGGGCAAAGUGAUUAGUGUUGGAAAUUGGUUUGAUGGUGGAUAUCUAAUAUUAAUUAUCAAACAACAGAUUUUUUCUAUAAAAAAAAAAAGAACAAUAGAGCAAGACCAUCCCACACGUGAUUUACUUUUUUUGGUAUUAUCAACCUUAAAAUAUAUGCUCAAAAGAUCGUAGGAAAGUGGCAGACAAUCAGGUCCACCCAAAAACAGAAUAUGCAUUUCUGACCAAGGCAAAUUCCAGAUUUCAGAAUGGAUUAGAAAAAAAAAGUUAAACAUGGCAAAUGAUGGUUGAUUCAGGCAUGCAAUAUGUCAUUUUAAAGCUUGAGAUGCCUAUUACAAUUAUCUAGAAGACAUUAAGUCCUAAUAACAUCAUCUACCAGCUCAUUUCGAGGACCGAAGCAUAUCAGUCAAAAUAGGCAUACGAAUUUCCACAUCAGAGCAGAACAGAACAAUUUUCCAGAAUUACUUCCUAACUUUUAAAGAAGAUUUCAUGUGGCUAAUGAUAUCGGAUCAGGGUUAUAGCUCGUUGGAAAGCUAGUCGAACCAUCUUCAACUCUCAUGAAGGCAUCAAACACAGAAAACCACAGCAACCAGCUCGUAUCAGGUCAUUUGUACAAAAGGUCAUCCAAAACAGAGAACCAAUCAGAACAGCAAAAUUUCAAACAAAGUCAGGGAUAUUCUGGACAUAUUCAACCUGGGUAAAUGAUAUUCAAUUAUCACGAAAUUUUUAUUUGAUAUAGAUUGGAACCUAAUGAACAACUUUCAUUUAGACAUCAACUUUAGAAUCUAAUCACAAAAAAUCAUGUGAAAAUGGCAAACAACACAAGUCAUUAAAGUAGUGCAUGAAAACAGAACACUUAAUCAUUUACAAAUUGUAAAUUGUAGCUCCGUUUGUAACAAUUGUCGAUUCUAGUAAAUGAUGACCAAAUCCAAAAGCUCACGGCAUUCAUUACAAAUUAUUAAGAAAGAAGCAAGCCUCGAGCACAGUACAAAAAGACAGCAAGACUCGAGCACAGCAAAGACUAUGAACAUGCGUUUAGCUUAGGCAUUUCAUCGAACGCUAAAUAGGCGCAAGAAAAACAAGGAGCACCGAGACUGAGCUUGAGUAGGGAUUUAAAAACAAUCAACAUUUAAGACCUCACAAUCCCAGCAUGCACAUGGAUAAAACCAAAACUCACAUGAACAGGACAACGGCGACUUGGUCUAAUGACUCCAAAACUAAGCACAAAGAAGAGACAAAAUAAGGCAAUCGGUCAAGGGUUCCAACCUGGCUCGUGGCACCAGGCAGGAGAUAAGAUCCGAGAAAUCGUCCAGAGAGCGAGCCUCCGAUCAAGAGAGUUACUAAUCUCCGAAAGCGAUCCUCAACCAGUCGGAACAGAGAGAAUUUCCGAUCCUGAUGAAGCUAGAUCCGGGCGAGAGCGAUUGAGUGUCCGUAAGAAAAAGAGAAUUCGAGCAGGAAAGAGAAUUCCCGAGCGAAAGAGUCAGCUUGAGUCCUAGAGAACGUGUGGGAUCUGGAGAGCGUCCUCGAGAGAGAGAAACCGUUCGGCCGUUUUUCCUCCGAGAGAGUCUGAGCCGAGAGCGUUCGUCCGUUUUGUCACAGUCGCGACUGCACUGACCGACAUAGGAAAUUUAGCUGCGGCUGUCACCGAUCGGGGAUGGGAAUACACCGAGCGUGAAGAUGAUCAGCAUAGCGAGGCCAACGACCGCUUCAAGCUCUUCAUCUUCGAAGCCAGAAACAUCACCGACGAUUUCUUCUCAUUCUCCAUCUUCUCCGACUCUAUCUAUCCAGAAGCACGAACCUUCGAGCGGCGGAACUCCCGACGGAAGAAACGAAAACCGAUCGUGAGUGGAGAUCAACUCCGGAUCUUAGUACCGGAAACGACAAGCCAAAGCAAUGGUAGAAACGGAGGAUGCGACGGUUGGUGACCGGAUUGCGGUAGCGGCGGCGCGCGAAUCGAAUCUCCGCCGCGAUGGGAAGAACUUGAAGAUUUGGGAUCGGAGUCGAGUGCAGAGAAAGAGAGAAAGCUUGACGAUGGAGGAUCCUCGAUCUAGGGUUUUCUUGGUGUGGUGGAGGAGACCGGAAAGAAAUCGAGAUCGAAAGAGAGAAAACCAGAAAAGCCCGCGUCCCCGAGCCUCCCCCAGAGAUCUUCCGUUCGAGCCUUUUAGAGAGAGAGAGAGCGUGAGAGAGCGAGAGAAAACCGUUUGAGAGCGAGAGAAAAAGAGAGCCCCUUUUCUAUUAUUUUUUUUCUUUCUUUUAUUUUUUUUUCUCUCCUUUUUCUUUUUCGUUUUCCUUAUUUCUUAUUUUUUUUCUCUUUUCAUUUCAUUUCAUUUUUUUUCUUUUUGUUUUCUUUUUAUUUAUUUAUUUAUUUUUGGCUCUUUAUUUUUUUAUAUUUUUGCAAAAUGGAUGAUUAAAAUGUCGACGAAAAUUUCCGGUGUCAACAGUGGAUCCAAAUGAGAUUUGCCUUUUGGUUCCAACACCUAAUAUCUUUUAGAUUCAAUGACUCUACCUUCCAUGUCUUCUUCAUUUCAACAUUAGUGGGCUAUUUUUAGUCUGUUCUACGAGCACACGGCUAGAACCGAUAAAGAUAACAAGAGAAUUUCAUCACUAAUGAGUUUGGAUUUUUCCUAUCGACUCUUGAUAUAUCCUAGGUCAAUAAUCUUAACUUACAACUUCUUAAAGAUCCAUUGAGGUUGUCUUGGGACAUAUUUUCGCCAAAAAUAAAGAGCCAAGAUUUUUGGGUAUGCAAGAUUCAACUUUGUGAUCUUUAGAUAAUACCAAUAAUUCUCAAUAACCUCAGAUUUUCCACAUUCAUUAAUCAACAUUGAUCCAAGCAUAUAGAUUCAUCAAAUUCAAUAGAGGAUAGAAAGCUUGUUCGGGUCUUAUUUGGUCCCUGGAACUGCUCACACAAUUAACAAAAGUUCAAGCGAUCUAACGCCCCCCCCCCCNNNNNNNNNNNNNNNNNNNNNNNNNNNNNNNNNNNNNNNNNNNNNNNNNNNNNNNNNNNNNNNNNNNNNNNNNNNNNNNNNNNNNNNNNNNNNNNNNNNNGAAAUUCGGUUAACCAAUCUUAGAAAACAUGAUAAAAUUAAAUGCAAAGAAAUAUGAUUGAGAAAGUAACCAAGUUAAUUUCUAAGUAGGAAAAAAAAUGACGAGGUUGAUUUUAUUUUUAAUAAAGAAAUGGACGGGGAGGGGGGAUCAUCAGGUGGCUCUUCUGUUAAUUGUAAUGUGUAUUGUGCGCCAUAUUCAUGUAUGGCGAAGGUAAGGGUAUAUUUUCAAACUUGAACUAAUAUUUGAUAUCAAUCAAUUUUAUUUUAAUUUAUAGUCAUUUUAAUGAAUGUCUUGAGUACUUGUUAAAUAUUUUUAUGAAGAGAAUCUUCAAUCUCCGAUGUGUCAUUGAGUAUAUUAUGAUGACAAUCAAUGUAUUGGGAGUCACCAUAUUUUUUUAUUUAAUUGCUUAAUAAGUGUUUUUGAGGUACUUUCUUAGUAAAUCUUUUUUAUGUCAAGUCCUUAUGCUCUUUAAAAAGAAAAAAAUUCUAAAUCUUUGACUAUACCAGCGAAAGGUAUUUUUUUUCGAAUACAAGAGGAAAGAAGAAGAAAGAUAGGCGAAUGCGUCACGCAUGUGUAGGCGCCGCAAAGGGAAGAUUAGGAUAAACACCUCUAAUCGGACCGGUUGCUUUUGGCCUUUCUUUUUUUUUUUUUUCUUUUUUUUUGCGUUUGGGUAAAGACGCGUACUUCGUUUCUUGUUUGACGGGUUGCAAGUCUCUUCAUCCAACCCAAACCACCAAAAAGAAACAAUUAAAAAAAUUAAAGGAAGAUUGCAAGUCUCUUCUUGAUGCUCGACAUGCGUAUCACGCUGGAAUGCAUUCCAUUCACUUUAUUGAGAGAACUUCCUGUGCAAUUUUCCUGUUUCGCUUUCAUCUUGACUCAAAGUCGCCAGUCUAUUAUUUGCAUCGUCUUCCCUCCUCUCUUCCAUUUCUCAAUCAUCCUCUGCUCAGAGUUUCACUGCAGGCCAUGGUUUUACUCUGCAGUCGCCCUUCUUUCUUCCUUUCCUUUUCCUUCGUUUUGCUAUCGCCAUUCUCAAACUUCAUUGCUCAAGCUCGAGAUUAUGAUCAUCCAACCGCCACGCUUUCAAGACAGUGGACGAAUAACGCAACAGCUAAUAACUACACCCCAUAUAGUGAUGGAUCAGUUGUGCAGAAAAUUCUAUUCCGAGGCACAGGAGUUACCGCCGGCUACUCCUGCGGCUUCUAUUGCAAAGGUAACUGCACCUCUUACCUCUUUGCUGUUCUAAUCUUCCCAGUUGUCAAUGUUUAUAAUAGGGGACUGGACGAAAGUCCACGAGUAGUGUGGUCUGCCAAUCGAAACAAUCCCAUAAAGAUUGGCGCGACAUUGGAGCUCACGCCUGAAGGCGAUUUGGUGUUGAAAGAUGCUAAUGGUACGGUUGCUUGGUCCACAAACACUUCUGCAAAGUCCGUUGUAGGCCUGGACUUGACAGAUUUGGGGAACCUCGUAUUGUUUGAUAAGGACAAUGCGACAGUUUGGCAGUCCUUUGAUCACCCAACCGAUUCACUCGUCCUCGGACAAAAGUUGAGGCAUGGGCAAAGAUUGACACAGAGUAUUUCCGAGACAAAUUGGACCGUUGACGAUAUGAUUACGUUUUCCGUGAAUGGCGAUGGUUUAUCUGCUCAAGUGGAGACUAAUCCUCCUCAAAUCUAUUUCAACUGCAAAGCUUACACUUGGGAUACAAGUAUCAAGAUUUCAUAUGUUGAACUUGAAAAUGGAAGCUUGUCUUGGUUCUCAAAUUCUACCUCGUAUGGGACCUUGUUUUCAAUCCCUUCAGCAUCUUCAACACAACACAUGACGCUAGGCUCAGAUGGGCAUUUGAGAGUGUAUGACUCUGAGGGGGUAGAAGUGGGCGAUCUUUUCAAAGGGUAUGUCGAUGACUGUGCCUAUCCGACGGUGUGUGGGCAAUAUGGAAUUUGUUCCAAUGGGCAAUGUAGUUGUCCGGCUUCAAGUGGGGGCACGAGCUACUUCCAGCCAGUAGAUGCUAGGCAGCCUCAGCUUGGGUGUUUCGAGAAUGGUCCGUUGUCUUGUGGGGCUUCACAACAACAAAGUCUUCUGGAGCAAGAAAAUAUCGCGUAUUUUAGUUUGACUCCAAAUCUCGAGCAUAUAGAUGCUUCAAGUUGUAAAGAGGCUUGUGCAAGGAAUUGUUCAUGCAAAGCAGCUAUAUUUCGAUAUGAAUCGAAUCGCACUAACGGCAGUUGUUACUUACCAACUCAGGUAUUUUCACUUAUGAACAUUGAUGAGGCAACAAGUCCUUAUAAUUCUACUGCUUUCCUCAAAGUACAAAAUUUGACCAAUGAAGCUCCUUAUACUCCAGUUGACAAUCCUAUGAGCAACCGUCUCCCCGUAAUACUUGGGUCCAGCCUUGGAGCUCUCUUUGCCAUGAUGAUUUUGAUUGUAGCCAUAGUUUUGUUUGUUCAAAAGAGAGAUGAUAAUCAAGCAGAGGAGGAUUACCUUGAUCAUGUACCUGGAAUGCCCACUAGAUUCGCAUAUGACGAUCUAAAAACCAUCACAAACGGAUUUGAUAGAAAGCUUGGCGAAGGCGGUUUUGGUUAUGUUUUUGAAGGUACUCUAAGGGAUGGCACAAAGGUUGCAGUAAAACGCCUUGAUGGUUUUGGGCAAGUUAAGAAAUCCUUUCUAGCCGAAGUUGAGACUAUUGGCAGCAUCCAUCACAUGAACUUGGUAAGACUCGUGGGAUUUUGCGCUGAGAAAUCCCACAGGCUCCUUAUCUAUGAGUACAUGUCGAAUGGGUCUUUAGAUAGAUGGAUCUUUCACAAAUCCAAUGAAUGUGUUCUCGACUGGCAACAAAGGAAGAAGAUCAUUCUCGAUAUAGCAAAAGGACUUAAUUAUCUUCAUGAAGAUUGUAGACAGAAGAUAGUUCACUUAGACAUUAAAUCCCAAAAUAUCCUUUUGGAUGAAACUUUCAAUGCUAAGGUUGCUGAUUUUGGGUUAUCCAAGUUAAUAGACAAGGACCAAAGCCAAAUCGUCACAACCAUGAGAGGAACUCCUGGUUAUCUGGCCCCCGAAUGGCUAAGUGCAGCAAUCACCGAAAAGGUCGACGUGUAUAGCUUUGGCGUGGUUAUCUUGGAGAUAUUGUGUGGGAGAAAAUCUUCGAUCUCUCAAUGAAGAAGACAUGUAUUUACUGAGCCUUUUUAAGAGAAAGGCAAAAGAGGAACAAUUGCUGGACAUUGUGGAUAAGUCUAGUGAUGACAUGCAACUAAAUGGAUCGAAUGCAAUGAAUAUGAUGAGGAUUGUCGCAUGGUGCUUGCAAGGAGACUAUAUAAAGAGGCCUCCCAUGUCCAUGGUCAUCAAGGCAUUACAGGGCAUCGUGAAAGUUCAAGAAGACUUGGAUUAUGACUUCUCUGCUCAACCUUCCAGUAGUGGAGAAGUGAGAUUCGAUCCCAUGGAUGUCGAAUUUAAUGCUACCGCUACAUUACUACCCUCAAUCCUAAGUGGUCCACGAUGACGCAUCAAAUUUAGAAUAACUUUUCUUCCCAAUAUGUCAAGUGGUAGAACAUGUGCACGAUUGAAUUUUUCGGUCCGUGAGGACUCCGACUUGUCAUUCUUUUUUUCAGGCCAAGGAAAAAGCCUGUGGCAUGAUAUCAUUUCUUGUUUUUACUUUUGCCAAAAGGAUUGAAUAGGUUAGGAUUUUGCAAUUGGGUUUUAUUGCUUAUGUAGAAACUGUCGUGCUCAAGUUUAUUGUGUGCUAGCCUAGGGAAAAAGCUGCUAGUAAUGUCUUUUGGUAACUUUACCAAAUCAUGGAUCCAAAUUUGAUUUGCUUUUUGGUUCCAACACCUAAUAUCCUUCGGGUUUAAUGACUACCUUCUAUGUCUUCCUCAUUUCAAGCUUAAUGGGCUAUUUUUAGUUUGUUUUGCCAGCGCACAAUUAAAACCGAUAAAGAUAAUAAGAGAAUUUCAUCGUUGGUAAUUUUGGAUUUUUCCUAGUGACUCUUAAUGUAUACUUGAUUAAUAAUAUUAAUUUCCAACUUCUUAAGGAUCUGUCGAGGUUGUUCCAAGGCAUAUGUUUGCCAAAGAUAGAGAAUCAGGAUGUUUGGGCAUUCAAGAUUCAAUUUUCCAUCUUAAAAAAACACUGGUCAUUCUCAAUAACCUCGGCUUUUCCACUGUCUUUAAUCAUCAUGAUCCAAGCAUGCUGAGAUGCUUGUCCGGGUUUUAUUUGGUCUCGGAACUGCUCGCACAAUUAAUGAAAGUUCAAAGCUAUCUGGCCCGCUGCCAUGCCAUGGCACCUCUCGAUUGGAUCUUCUCGUGGCAGGUCAACAAACCAGAGCCCACGUGGAGCUCAUCCAUUGGCCCGAGCUACGUGUAACCUCUUGCAAAUUGCUCCCUCUUCCCUGCACAAACUCACUAGCGACGGAACUUCUUCGCUCGGAGUCGCGAUGGUAAGUUAUCACGAAUCGCACAGAGAAACGAUAAUCAGUACAUAAUAUCCCCAAAACGUAAAAGACAAGACAAGAAAACCAAUGCGAUUAUGAAAAUAAAAAAGAUACGCACGUAGAAAGAAGGCUGAGAGGAAGAAAGAAGAUGACAAACGGUACAUGACUUCCCGAGACAUCUCGAGCAUAACAUAAGACCGUUUGCAAUGCAAAAGCAGCAGAAAUACAGCAUAUUCAAUAUCAAUAAACAGUGAUCCAUUUCUUUCUUUACAGUAGCCCAAACUGGAUCCAGCUCAUAAACGAGGAGUUAACUCUUUUUUCAGAGUGUCAGCUCGCCAUGCGAAAAUACAAGAGUGUAAAGAGACGCGGCAGCAUUCUUUUCUUCGCUUGUUUCCCCCUAAAAGAUGUCAAGGUAGUCUCCAUAUAACUAUGAAGCUCAAAGUAAGAGACAAUUACGUAAUGCUGUAACAUUUUCUUCCCGAUAGUUCAUGCAACAGAUANNNNNNNNNNNNNNNNNNNNNNNNNNNNNNNNNNNNNNNNNNNNNNNNNNNNNNNNNNNNNNNNNNNNNNNNNNNNNNNNNNNNNNNNNNNNNNNNNNNNGGUUGAGGGCUAAGCCCUCGCUACCGUCACCUCCUCGCCGUCGCCGGGAAGGGUCAGUGAAGGUGGGGGGAGGGUUGACUAGGGUCGUCGGUGUGGCAUCCCAAAAUUCAAGUCACCCUCUAGAGGAAUUAAAGCCUAUAAUUAGGUAAUGAAAUUACCUAUGGUCUAUGUGUUAGCCAUUAGUUUUCUUAAGGCUAUGUGUUAAUGUGCUUGUGUUUAUGAGAUUUUAAAUUUGAUAGAUUAAUGAUAAUAAUCUAUGCUUGACCAUGCACCUUAUAGAUUAAAUUCCUAUAAAUAAAAUGUCACAAGACUUUGGCCAUGUGGAAUUUAAAAUUUAAAAUUUGUAGAAGAAAUUAUAAAAGGAGAAAAUUUAAUUUUUUAUUUAAGUUGGGCCUUAGGCCCAUUGGCCUAAGCCUUAGUGGGCCAAGCUGGUCGGCCCAAUUAGGCCCGCGAAAGGGGGCUGUCGCCGGCCCAAAAAGAGACCCAAGAAAAAGAAAGCCCAAGCCCAUGCUUGUGUUGUGACAAGUGGCAAGAGGAGAUGGCAUGCAUUGGCCAAUUGAAAGGCAAACUAAUCAUUGCAAAUGAUUAGGAAAUGGGGGAAUAAAAGGGAAGAGGAGAGAGAGAGGUGGCCGGUUGAGCUACCGCCCAAAGAGAGAGAGAGAUUGUGCGAGAGAGAGGGAGAGUGAGGCCGAGAGGGAGGAGAAGCCAAGAGGAAGGAGUCGCCGCCCGUUCGCCGCCGUGUGCUGCCAUGUUCGCCGCCAUGUGCCGCCGUUUGUGUGGUCUAGAGGCAAGUUGGGAAUCCACUUUCUACUCUUGCACCAAUGUUUUGCAUGUAUGGUCGGAAUCUAGGAUGUUUGGAGGCAUGGGAGUGAAGCAAGUGUGGUUUGUUCUUGAGUUGCAUGCUGUUUUCGCAUGAACAGUUUGAGUCAGAACUUUGUGAGAGCUUGCAUGCAUGUUUUGAGUUCGAUUUUGAUUUUGAUUUCUUCAUGAAAGUUGUAUAUAACAUCUUAAACUAUAACAUAAUAAAAUUUGGUGUAAAAUGAUGGAGAUUUGAGGGGUAAAACUCUCAUCCUACGGAGACAUCAGAUCUGGAACUAUUUCACUGACCUUUCGGUGGAUUUGUGGUUGCAUGUUGAUUUUUACUAAGAAUAUCUCUUCGAUUUCUUCUUUAAAGUUGCAGGGGGAAUCUUAAAAUACAACAUACUCAAAUUUGAAGUAAAAUGAACAAGUAUAACCUAGUAAAUCGACUCACUCUUGAAGACGGUAAAUCUGGAGACGUGGUACAGGACACCCGAGACUUCAUGGACCCAAAUGAUGACUAUACUCUAGAUAUUUGACUUAGAUCCCUUCAUGAAACUUGUAUAGAAAAUCUUGAAGUAAAACAUAUCCAAAUUUCAGAGGAAACGAAGAAUAAUAGGUAGGUGAAGACUCAGUAUUUCGGAGAAGCAUGCACUGGACAUUUCGAUGUUAUAUCCAGAAGCUUCGUGUGACUGUAGAAAAUAAUAUAAAAAUAAUUUGGCCUAGAAGUCUCCAUGAAAAAUAUACCUUAGUGUCUUGGCAAUAACCUGGUAAAAUUUCGUAAUUUUCGGAGAUCGUUUGGAUAUUUUAAUUAAAUUAUUUCGGAAACUGUGCAUUCUGUUUUUAUCCGAAGUUGUAUGCUGUGAUGGUGUGAAUGAUAUCUUUUGUGUGGAAUAUUAUUGGCCAUGUGUCUUUCAUAAAACCAUUAUCUUAUUGUCUUGGUUAUCACAUGCUUUAAUUUCAUGAUUUUUGGGAAUCAUAUGGAUAUUUAAUUUAAAUAUUUUUAAAAAUGGUACAAGCUGGAAUUUAAAUAAAUUCCAAAAAGGCAUAAUAAAUGGAUUAUUCUAAAUUGUAUGAAUUCCAUAAACUUUAUUUUUCAUCCUGUGGCAUGUAUAAUGAUGGCUAAUGAUGCAUGUAUGAAUCAAAGCAUGAAAGUGAUCUUGUUUGCCAUUGCAUCAUGUGCCGUGCUGAGUUGAGACAUAAAUUGGUAACCAUGAAUAAAAGAGAUAAAUGAGGAGACUGUUGUGGUAGAUGAUAAUGCCCUGGGAGUGUCAAGAUGUCCGGGAUGGGGGGUGCCGAAAGCCGGAUUGUAUUGAGAUACAAGGCCGGAUUGUCCUCGGGAGUUUCGAGAUGCCCGGGAAAUGGGGGUGCUGGAAGCCCUGGAGGUUUGUGCCCAGGGGGAUGCCUCGUGACGCCAGUUGGGGUGCGAGAUGCCCGGCCAGGGAGUGUAAAUGCCGGAAGCCUCGGAGGUUUUUGCCCGAGGGAUGCCUCGUGAUGCCAGUUGGGAUGCGAGAUGCCCGGAAUAUGGGGGUUCGGAUGCCCGGUGGUGUAUGCCGGAGGUUUAUCUUGUGAUGCCAGAUGUGGCGAUCGAAUUGAAAGAUAAAAGUGAAAAUGAUGGCAUGCAUAUAUGAUGUGAAGAUGAUAACCUAUGGCAUGAUGGCAUGCAUAUAUGAUGUGAAGAUGAUAACCUAUGGCAUGAUGGCAUGCAUAUAUGAUGUGAAGAUGAUAACCUAUGGCAUGAUGACAUGCAUAUGUGGUGUGAAGAUGAUAGCCUAUGGCAUGAUGACAUGCAUAUAUAUAGGAUAUGAUGAUGAGAUGUGCAUGGAUGCAUGGUAACUAUGCAUGAUGAUAUGCAUGUAUGAGAUGAUAUGAUGAUGAUCACUUAUGGCAUGAUGAUAUGCAUGUAUGAGAUGAUAUGAUGAUGAUCACUUAUGGCAUUAUGAUAUGACAUGAUAUGAUAUGAUGAUGAAGAUGUAUGAUGGUAUAUGCAUGGCUUCAAGGUAAGUACGCAUGGAUGCAUGAAUGGCAUGUAUGAUGUUGUGAUUGUAUUGUAUGAUGCAUUGAGUGGCUAUCGGAUUCUUUUACCUGCUGAGUGGUUGUACUCACCCCUUUGGGGACCAACAUUUCAAAUUAGCAGCAUGCCGCUCCCUGCUGUCACGCAGGGUGUGUUUUACGGUCUACCAUCCAAUGUAGAGGUCAAGUGCGAGGAGUUUGGCUGUCCCUCUGUUCCUGGAUUGACAUAUAUUCGAGUGCGCUGUUUAGUCAUGUACGAUGUAGGCCUGACUGGGGGCCCUGUUGUCCAGGAGUUCAUAUCCGUCCACAUUCGUCGCGACGGUGUGAUGCGUGGGAUGUUGCCGCCGCCACCGCCUGAUGCACCGGGUUGGGUGUGAGGGCCCGUGCGUGAUGAGUAGGAGCUGGAUCUUUUUGGGGAUAGUUAGUCGACACUGAUGAUGGGGAUUUAGCACGUGAGUUGUAGCGGGUCGAGGGUUUCUUUUUGGGGUUUUAGGCCGGGCGUGGCUGAGUCCUGGCUUUUCCUUUUGAUGUACCAACCCAAGAAAUCCCAUCUUGGAGAUAUGUAAAUAAAGUGUCAUGGCUUGUCUUUUAAUCAUGAUGAUUAGUGGUGUGUAUUUGUAUCAUGGUUGAUGGAGGGGGAGAUGGCGAUGUUUUAUUUUGCUUCCGCUAAUGAGUCACGCUGGGACCGCUUUAAAAAAAAAUGUCUAUGAAUUACGACGUUUCUUCUAAAUAAAUGUAAUAAGGUGUAACGUUGGUGUCUGUGGCGACCUGCGAAGGGUUCGGGGUGCCACAGUCGGGCCCUGGCCACGGGCCAGCAACCCUUGCUAAUCGGUGGUGAGGGCCCACGAGCCCUCGCCCCAAAUCUGGGUGAGGGUCGCGACCUUCACCAGAUCUGGCGAGGGUCGCCAACCCUCGUUGGAUUUGGGGGAGGGCCGUGACCCUUAGCCUGGCCGUGUGAGGGCUGUGACCCUUGCCCAAAUCUGGGGCGAGAGCUCACAAGCCCUCGCUACCUGUCGGCCAGGGUUGUCAGCCCUUUGCUAGGGCCGGGUGACCCUGGCCGACCCUCCCCCCAUUGUCGCCGGCCCUUCUAGUGGCGGCGAGCAAGCAGUGGCGGUGAUGAGGACUCAGCCCUCAGUCGCCUUCUUUCUCUCUUGGCCUUUUUUUUUUUUGGAAAUAUUUGUAUUUGUAUUUUUAAAUGAUUUAAAUAAAUUUAGUUUUAAAUUUAAAUUUAAUUUUUUACCACGUCAAUAGCAAAAUGACAUCGUUUUUGCAUUGUCUAGCCAUGUCAGUGUGCAAAAUGACACCGUUUUGCACAUGCUUCGCCAAAAAAUCGUCACGUUAGCAUUUUGGCCGGAUUUUUUUGCCGUUGGCACUUAAGUGAUCAAUUUUGUUCUGAUUUUAGCACUUAAGUGAUCAUCUGAUUUUAGCACUUAAGUGAUCAUCUGAUUUUAGCACUUAAGUGAUCCAUUUUGUUCUGAUUUUGGCACUUAGGUGUCACUUUCCUAACUUUUGGCACUUAAGUGUCCCUACGUGCCAAGUUUUGGCACUUGAGGUGUACUUCUUCCCACUCUUCCUAUCACAACUCACUAGCGAUGGAAGUAUUGAGAUAGCUAGUAUAAGCACCUAGAGGAGGGUGAAUAGGUGCAAAAACAAUUUCUCGUGAUAUGUGAGCAAUAUUAGACAAUGAGAAUGAAGCUCGCCUUUUUGAUAUCACAAGUAAUUAUGAUCAAAGUAAAACNNNNNNNNNNNNNNNNNNNNNNNNNNNNNNNNNNNNNNNNNNNNNNNNNNNNNNNNNNNNNNNNNNNNNNNNNNNNNNNNNNNNNNNNNNNNNNNNNNNNNNNNNNNNNNNNNNNNNNNNNNNNNNNNNNNNNNNNNNNNNNNNNNNNNNNNNNNNNNNNNNNNNNNNNNNNNNNNNNNNNNNNNNNNNNNNNNNNNNNNNNNNNNNNNNNNNNNNNNNNNNNNNNNNNNNNNNNNNNNNNNNNNNNNNNNNNNNNNNNNNNNNNNNNNNNNNNNNNNNNNNNNNNNNNNNNNNNNNNNNNNNNNNNNNNNNNNNNNNNNNNNNNNNNNNNNNNNNNNNNNNNNNNNNNNNNNNNNNNNNNNNNNNNNNNNNNNNNNNNNNNNNNNNNNNNNNNNNNNNNNNNNNNNNNNNNNNNNCCAUCAAUCAUGUUCGCCCAUACAAUCAGGAUCUCGGUUUCCAUAAGUAGAACCUUCCAAGUAUACUUCACCAAUCAUCAGAUCCUUAAUCAAUCUUGAUUUGAGUAAAGGAUUCCGUUAUGUCAUAUCCAGCCAAGAGAUCUUCGUCAGUCGAUAAGAUCAAAUUCUUAACGAAACAUCCAGUCCUGGAUAGACCUUCUUCGACAAACUAGAAACUAUUAAUGAUGAUAGACUUUGAGUCUUGAGUCUGGUAGUUCGAAGGUCUUCAGACUUUAAAUAGUAGAGUCUGCAAAUCUUCAGACUAAACUGAUGGAAACGUUUUGUCAGCUUCAAAAUACUUCAUGAAGAUUUCUCCAACAAUCUCCCCCUUUUGAUGGUGACAAAACUUUCCUGCAGAUUUAAAUAACUUUGACCUACAAAACAUUACUCAAACAAAUAUGGAUAUCUUAUAAAGAUAAAUGGCUUACUAGAAUCUGCAACCAUAGAAAAUAAGUUAGUCUUUCAUGAGAGUAAAGCCAUUCAUAAGAUAUCAGUAGUACUUAAUAUGAGCAGUCAAAUCCAAAUCCCAAAUUCAGUCCACAUCCAGACACAAGUCAAGUCAAAACAUCAAACAUCAAAACAAAUUAAAAGUUCAACAAGUUCAAGAUCAAAGUUUUAAAAUCUCGCAUCUCUCCCCCUUUUUGUCAUCAGAAAAAAGGUUGAGAUGGAAAUAGAGUCAAGAUUGCUUGGGAACACGAACAAGCUGGAAAUCUCCCAUAGACUGAGCGAUGCCUUCUAGCUUUUUCAAUUCUUCUUUCAGUUGAGCUACAUCUUCACCCUUAGCAUUUGCUUGAAUCUGAAGAGCAAGGGCUUGGAUCUGAUCAUUCACAGAAACUGAAGAAGCUUGGCUUGCAGUCUGUAAAUUCUGUACUUCGUAACCCAAAGCAUAUAUCUGACCCCGCAACUCCAAGAGAACAUCGAGAAUUCUGCGAAAAUCUGCUGAAUUAUCAGUCUGCGUACUGGCUUCUGCUCGAUCAGAUGGAGUAAAGGCAGAUGAUGGCAAAUCAGCAUAGUUAUGCGGAUUGGGCGAUGAAACACCAUGUCCCUCCUCAGGAAAUUGAGAGGCAUAAACGUCCUCUGGAUCUGCUGGAGAGCGACUGACUUCUUCACUGGUAGCCGGAUAUGAGGACAUAUCUCUUUUCUCACAAUCUCCCCCUAUUUCCAUGCCUUCAGGUGGAGAAGAGUGUUCCUCAUACUCUCCUUCCUCUUGAUCUCCUUUCUCUCCUUUCUCUUCUUCUUCUGCUUCAAUUCUUUCCUCCUCAGCAUCUCUUUCUUAUGCUUCUCUCUCCUCUGUUUCUUUUUCCUCUGCUUCUUCUCGUUCUUCAGUCCUCUAUUAUGAGUCUUUCUCUUGAUGUUCCGUUGAUUCUGGAGCAGAACGACUCAAGUUCUUCAAGGCCAUAGCAGAAAUGGUGAUAUCAUCCUCAUCAUCUUCAUCCUCAACGAUGAGAGCUUUUCUUUUCUUGGAUGAAGCAACCAUGGGCUCCUUCCCUUUUCUUUUUGCUGCAGAAGAGAUUUGAUGAGGCUUGGCAGGAGUUGACUCCUUGAAUUUCUCCAACGUCUUGUUUAGUUCCUUCAGACGCAUUUUAGACACCAUUUUCAAUCCUACCACCAUGUGAUCACACGAUCGAACACAGAGAAUUCGUGGAGGCUGAAUAUUCAAAUGUCUGAAUAACUUUAUCACAAGAGCUGGAUAAGGAAGUUGACCCAUGUCCUUCACCACUGCUCUAUACAUGUGGAACAAAAUAGUGUGAGGAAGAGAAAACUUUUUCCCUGCAUUGAUGGCGUACAUCAGCUUUGCCUCUGAAUUGGAAACAUCAGUUUUUGAAGUAGACUUUGGCCUGAGGCAAUUAAUCACAAUCUUGUGAAGCAGAAUGUUGAACACACGUAUCCUUAAGUAGGAAAUCCUUCCCUCUGUCCUUCUAUCUUUAACAAGUUCCAAUGUGGUGCAACAGACACAUUGAUAGGUUGAUAUCUCCCUCUCUCAACCCUAAUCACAUCAGCCAACAUGUCUACAUCCACCACAUAAUCCUGAUCUCGAACACUAAACGAAAAUCUGUUCGCGUCCAGGAAACUGAGAUUUGAAUAGAAGUAUGCAGUGAGUUCAGCAUAGGCUUCUAUAGGUUCAGAACAAAAUUGCUCAAGUUGAAGAAGACUGAAUUUUUCCCUCAAAUUGACGUUCACAGAGUCAAGGAAAUCAAAGUCUACACUUCUAGGGUUUAUCACCCCACGCUUCAACAACUUAGUGUAAAGAUUCUUGUGUUCUUCCGAAUGGAACAAUUCUAUCCUUUUGCUCCGAAUACUUGCUGCAACACCCAUUCUCGGUUGAAAUUGACUGUACAACUUGUCAUCAUCAUUUUCGUCUAGCUGAUUCACUCCUCCAACACGCGGAUCACUUGGGAUGUUUGCAAGGGUUUCUUCUGCCAACCCUUUAGGGGCAAUUCUCAAACGCUCCAUAUUUUUUAAAAAGAUGUACUCAUUACCAUGCCCUUUGUCCUUGAGAAACUCAUCGAUGUAGUUCAAUGGAGUACCGGUCUUCUUUAAAGCACGAUAAAGCUUAUAAAUAAAGGAGGGCUUUUGAAUUCUUACAGGAUCUGCGCCUUCAACGAUUUCUUCCUCUUCUCUAUGACCAACAUCCUGUGGGCUAGACAGUGGAGAAUGACGCGGCUGAGAAUGUUGUGGGCUCUGCUGCUAACUGGGAGUCUCUUCUUCCUCGGUGAGAUCAAAGUGAGUAGGCCCCUCACUCAUUCUCUGCGGUCCCCUGCUUGCGAUUCUCGAAGACUUCCUUUGAGACGACAUCUUUCACAGUUUUCGGAAGAUUCCAAACUUGUUUUUCCCAAGAAAGAUGACAACUUUUUGAAGAUUAAACAAGAGAAGAAGACGCAAGUGGAAGAUCGAUGCCUUUUAGGGUUUUGGAGUAAGACGAAGAAGAACCGUUCGUAUAUAGGACAGUCGAAGAGAGGCAUCCGAAGCGUCAUAAAAGAAAGUAAAAAGAUGCCUUUUAAAAAUAACUGCCUUUUUCAAAAAUUAGAUAACUACCAUUUAAGACUAACUUCAUUUUCGAAAAAGAAAGAUAGCGAUAAUCACGGAAAUAGCAAAAAUCAAUUAUGGACAGAUAAUCGUACCUUUUCGAAAUUUAUUCUGAGAGAAAGAAUAACUUACAGUAAAGAAAACUCGAUUGACUGAGUCUGAGAGUCUCUAGACUUUAACCUCUUCAGACUUCAAGAUGUUGAGUCUGGAACGAAUAACUUCAAAUUGAUUUUUCUCCAAAGGCUUUGUAAAUAUAUCCACCAGUUGGUUCUUUGAGUCAACAAACUGAAUCGAAACUUCUCCAUUUUGAACAUGAUCUCUGAUGAAGUGAUGUCGAAUCUCUAUAUGCUUUGCUCUUGAGUGAAGAAUUGGAUUCUUGGUCAGAUUGAUUGCGCUGGUGUUGUCACACUUAAUCUCCGUGCAUGAAUCUUCAAUUCCAAAGUCUCUUAGCUGUUGUUUUAUCCACAUAAUUUGUGAGCAGCAACUUCCAAGAGCUACAUACUCUGCUUCUGCUGUAGAAAGAGCUACUAUAUUUUGCUUUCUUGAAAACCAAGACACUGUCCUACUUCCAAGUAGUUGACAAGUACCCGAGGUGCUCUUUCUAUCAACUCUGCAACCGGCUAGGUCUGCGUCUGAGUAUCCAAGAAGAGUAAAGUCUCCAUUUUUAGGAUACCAAAGACCAAGACUUGAAGUUGAAGCAAUGUAUUUGAUAAUACGCUUUGCAGCACUUAGAUGAGAUUCUUUAGGGUCUGCUUGAAAUCUAGCACAAAUACAAACACUAAACAAAAUGUCAGGUUUAGAAGCAGUAAAAUAAAGAAGUGAACCAAUGAUACUCCUGUAUAGCUUCUGGUCAACUUUCUUUCCUCCUUCAUCUUUGUCUAUCUUCAAAGAACUUGACAUUGGUAUGUCAGUCUUUUUGCAAUUUUCUAGUCCAAACUUUUUGACAAGAUCAUUAGCAUAUUUUUCUUGAUGAACAAAAGUUCCUUCCUUCAACUGUUUCACUUGAAGCCCGAGAAGAAGGUUAGCUCACCCAUCAUGCUCAUUUCAACUUCGUCCUGCAUAGACUUAGAGAAUUUCUUGCACAAACUUUCAUUAGAGGAUCCAAAAAUAAUAUCAUCUACAUAUAUUUGAACAAGUAGAAAACUUUUGUUUUCUCUUUUAAUAAAAAGAGUAGUGUCUACUUUACCUUUUACAAAUCUGUUUUGAAUUAAAAACUUACUCAACCUAUCGUACCAAGCUCAAGGUGCGUGUUUUAAACCAUAUAAUGUCUUUUUCAGUCUGAAUACUGAGUCUGGUUUCCUUGGGUCUUCAAACCCAGGUGAUUGUUCCACAUAGACUUCCUCAUGAAUGAAUCCAUUCAGGAAAGCGCUUUUGAUGUCCAUUUGGAAUAACCUGAAAUUUUUAUAACAGGCAAAAGCAAGUAAUAAUCGGAUUGCUUCUAACCUUGCUGCUGGUGCGUAAGUCUUGUCAUAGUCUAUCCCUUCUUCUUGCGUAUAUCCCUUGGCCACGAGUCUUGCUUUGUUUCUUACGACUUUUCCUUUCUCGUUCAUUUUGUUCCUGAAAACCCAUUUAGCUCUAAUAACAGAUUUACCUUUUGGUUUAGGAAUUAAUUCCCAGACAUCAUUAAUACUGAAUUGUCUGAGCUCUUCUUACAUAGCUUCAAUCCAGCUUUCAUCAGACAAAGCUUCUUCUAUGCUUUUGGGUUUUAUUUCAGAGACAAGAGCCACAGCACUAGACUCUUCGCGCCUUUUGGAUCUUGUGCGAAUUCCUUCUUUAAUGUCGCCAAUAAUGAGAUCUUUGGGAUGAUUGGACUUAUGCUUCCAGUUGCUGGUUGAAUUAUCAGGUUGAUGAUCACUUCCUUCAUUUGAAUCUUUAACAAUCAUUUGUUGCCGAUAUUUAGAAGUCUGAGCUGCUUCUUGAGAUUUAGACCUUGUAGAGUCUGGAGCAGGUUCAGAUUCUUCAAGAUGAGUCUGAAUAGAUUCAUUUUGCAUGGAAUCUUGAAAUCUGACAUUCAUUGAUUCUUCCACAGAUUGAGUCUUUUUGUUGUAGACUAUGUAGGCUUUGCUUGAGGUUGAAUAUCCAAGGAAGAUGCAUUCAUCUGACUUUUCUUCAAACUUGCCAACUCGAUCAUUUGCAUUUUUUAAUAUAAAGCAUUUACAUCCAAAUACAUGAAAAUAUGAAAUAAUAGGCUUCUUUUCUUUGAAUAGCUCAUAGGGGGUUUUUUCUAGAAUAGGCCUUAGAAAAACUCUAUUAAUAAUGUAACAUGCUGUAGAAACUGCUUCGGCCCAAAAACGUGAAGAAAUAUUACUUUCAAUUAAAAGAGUUCUAACCAUUUCUUGAAGCGACCUAUUCUUUCUUUCCACAACUCCGUUUUGCUCUGGAGUAUAUGGAGAGGAAAACACAUGCUGAAAACCAGAUUUUAUCACAGAAUUUUGUAAAAUCUUGAUUUUCAAAUUCACCUCCAUGAUCUGUUUUUAUGCUUGAAAUAACAUACCAUUUUUCAUUUUGAACCUUUUUAGCGAAUUUUUCAAAGUAAGAAAAGGUUUCAGACUUACUUGCCAGAAAAUAUACCCAAGUAAAUUGUAACUAGUCAUCCACAAUUACUAGGCAAUAUUUCUUACCUCUAAUACUCUGAGUUCUAGUUGGUCCAAAGAGAUCCAUAUGCAGAAGCUGCAGUACACGAUUAGUGGAAACUUGAUUUAUUGGUUUAAAGGAAUUUCUUACCUGUUUUCCCAAUAUGCAUGGUGUACAUAGAUCAGACUUUUGGUAUGACAGAUUGGGUAAACCACGAACAAGCUUUUUUGUUGAAAUUUUGGCUAUCUGCUUCAUAUUAACGUGCCCAAGCUUUCUGUGCCAUAGGUUUGCUUCGUCUUGAAUUGAGAUCAGACAUUGCGAUUCAUCUGGUUUCACAUCCAAGAGGUAGAUAUUUCCAUGUCUUCGACCCAUGAAUGACUGAGUAUAAUCUUUACUAGUUCCUGAACAUAUUCCUUCUUGAAAACUGAUUUUGAAACUGGUAUCGCAUAGCUGACUGAUACUGAGUAAAUUGUAGUUAAGUCAUUCCACUAAGGAAACAUUGCUGAUUGUGAGGUUUCCAAUCUUUACAGUUCCAAAUCCCACAAUUCUUCCUUUGCUAUUUCCUCCAAAUGAGACUUUUCCACCAUUUACUUGAACAAGCUUUAUGAAGCAAUUUGAAUCUCCUGUCAUAUGUCUUGAGCAUGCACUAUCCAGAUACCAUUUUACCUUUUUCUUGAUAGUGACCUGCAUUUAGAAAAGAGACUCAAGCUUUCUUUGGUACCCAUAUUUUCUUGGGUCCAUUUGUGUUAGUAUGAUAUGCAGUUUUAGCCCAUACUUUCUUAACAGGUUUCCAAACCAUAGGACAUUCUUUCUCAAAAUGAUCUAAACUAUUGCACUUAGAACAUCUGAGAGCAUUACGACCUACUGGUUUUACAAAAACCUUUUUGAAAUGAUUUUUGUAAGCAUCCCUUGAGGGUCUUUGCUUAAUUCUUUCCUUCACUUUAGGAAAAUCAAUUAAAUGAAUGGUUUUUGCUGUUAUUCCCAAACCAGAUUUAUUGAAAUAAGGUCUUUGUACUGAAAGAAUUUUCUCAAGUUUCUCAGAUCCUAUUGAAAAUCUUUUUGAAAUAUUUGAUAUGUCCUUUUUUAGAAAUUCAUUUUCUUUUAGAAGAUUAUCUUCACUUUCUUUAAGAGAAGAAACAUUUGUGUCUAAACAUUUAAUCUUUUCUUUCAAAACAUUUUCCUAUUGUUUCAAUGCAGAAUUAUCCUUUUUGAGUUUAGAAAUCCUUUUAAGAGAAGUCUUAAGACUAAAACAUAACUCAUCAAUGUAUUUAGAAACUUUAACAGGGAUUUUGAAGUUACUCACCUCGAAUUCACUGUCUGAAUCUGAGUCUGUCUCAAAGUUUGAAUCUGAAUCCGAUUGUGCCAUUAAACAUAUAUUGGCAUAAUCAUCAUCACUUUCUUCACACUCUGUAUCACUCCAGGUCUCUGCUUUGAGAGCCUUUCGAUACUUUUUAGCUUUUCCUUUCUUCUUCCUCAGAAGCGGACAGUUGGGUCUGAUGUGUCCCUUUUUCUUACAUUCAAAGCAGACUACAUCUUUGUUUGAUUCAUCAUCCUCAACAGACUUAGUCUGUUGGUUUUGAAAACUUUGUUUCUUUGGAUUGAAUCUUCUUCCUUUUCUGUUUAGCUUUCUGAAUCUUCUUAUCAUGAGAGCAAGCUCCUCAUCAUCCAUAUCAUCUUCAAAAUCUUCAAAAUCAUCAUUGGAUUUUAAUGUAAUGGAUUUCUUACCUUUAGGAUCUUCGUCUUCAUUGAUUCGCUCCACUUCAUAAGACUGAAGAGUCCCAACCAACUCAUCGACAGAUAGUGGCAUGAUUCUUUGUGUCUCUCUUAUUGAGGUCUUUAUGUGAUUCCAACCUUGGAGAGUCCAUGCAGUAGCUUGUUUACCUUCAUGGGAUCAUAAAUUGGUUGACCUUGAUUUUCAAGACCAUUCACGAUUUCUGUAAAACGACUAAACAUGUCAAUUAUAGAUUCUCCCGAUUUCAUUUUGAAGGCUUCGUAUUGACCGAGGAGAAUGUUGAUUCUGGUCUCUUUCAAUCGAUCUGUUCCUUCAUAGGUAAUAUGUAAUCUAUCCCAGACUUCUUUCGCUGUAACACAAGAAGAUAUUAUGUUAUAUUCAGUAGGUGACAAAGCACAAUAUAAAGAAUAAAUUGCUUUUGUAUCAAGAGCUUGUCUCUUGAUUAUCUCUUCCUGAGUCAUUUCACUAGACUCAACAGCUUCUUUUCCUCUCUUUGAGACAGGUGCAGCUUUAGGAAUAAUUCCCUUUUUUACAACGUCCCAGUCCAGAGGAUCCUUUGACCUUAGAAACGCCUUCAUUUUGUUUUUCCAUAUGUUGUAUUCUUUUCCAUCAAAGUAAGGUGGUUUGGUAUUGCUUUGCCCUUCUACCAACCCUGGAGCUAACAUACUAGCCAUGGAUCUUUAACUCUGAAGUAAAACACUUCAAACAAAGUGAGUACACAAGCUCUGAUACCAAUUGAGAUAGCUAGUAUAAGCACCUAGAGGGGGUGAAUAGGUGCAAAAACAAUUUCUCGUGAUAUGUGAGCAAUAUUAGACAAUGAAAAUGAGGCUCGCCUUUUUGAUAUCACAAGUAAUUAUGAUCAAAGUAAAAGAGAGUAGGGAAGAGAAAAUGAACACAAGGUUUAUAGUGGUUCGGCUUAUUUCAAGCCUAUGUCCACUCUUCCGCAUUGACAGCCCACCGCUGGAUUUCACUAUGAACAAAAGAGAUUUUACGGCAAUGUUCUCCCUUGAUUCCACAGUGUAGAUAUUCUACAACACUUCCUCAAGGUUUCUCACGAAUAUAGACUCUCUUUUGCAUACAAGAUUUCGCUCAGCAAAUGAAUUGACUAAGAACAAGGAGCUUCAGACUUUGGAAUUCUUCUAUUGUACACACCCUCGAACAACUGGAACGUCUUCCUUUUAUACUCCUUUAUGCCAUCAUACCCGUUGGCACUUACCAAAGGAAUUCCUCAAAUCUACCCGUUGGACAGAAUCAAUUAGGAAAAUCAUUCGAGUUAUUUAAGAAACAUGUCGAUAGCCCAUCAAUCAUGUUCGCCCAUACAAUCAGGAUCUCGGUUUCCAUAAGUAGAACAUUCCAAGUAUACUUCACCAAUCAUCAGAUCCUUAAUCAAUCUUGAUUUGAGUAAAGGAUUCCGUUAUGUCAUAUCCAGCCAAGAGAUCUUCAUCAGUUGAUAAGAUCAAAUCCUUAACGAAACAUCCAGUCCUAGAUAGACCUUCUUCGACAAACUAGAAACUGUCAAUGAGGAUAGACUUUGAGUCUUGAGUCUGGUAGUCCGGAGGUCUUCAGACUUUAAAUAGUAGAGUCUACAAAUCUUCAGACUAGACUGAUGGAAACGUUUUGUCAACUUCAAAACACUUCAUGAAGAUUUCUCCAACAAGUAUUUCUAUUUGUACUUCUUUCCACUCUUCCUAUCACAACUCACUAGCGAUGGAAGUAUUUCUUUUUAUUCUUCCAAUUCUGUGCUGUGUGCCUUUUGCCUUCUCCUCUUCUUGAAGUCUCCGAAUCGGAGUCACCAUAGUAAGUUAUCGCAAAUCACGUAGAGAAAGGAUAAUCUCGCGAUGAAUCUGUCUAUCUUCUCCUCGACCAUGGAAGGCAUUGCGUGGUGAGGAUGGAUCUACACGUUGUGCAUCCUGCACUUCGUGUUCGCUUGCCAGUUCCUUCACCUUCAGCCUCUCGUCUCUACCUUAGGUACAUCAUUCUAGAUAGGGGUGAGCAUCGAUCUAGGGUCAAUCUUGAACCAGCCCUAAACCGGCCCAACCCUGCUGAUCCUAAUCCGUUUCCCAGUGACAUUGGAUUGGUCUUUGGUCUUGGGAUUCCUAGACCAGCACUGUACGGGUUGGUCAUCGGUUCUGGGAGUUUAAAAUUGGUCCAACCCGAACCAACCCUAACUCUAUAUAUAUUGUAUAUCUAAUAUAUUAUUUAUAAUUUUUUAUGAAGAAAAAACCCUAAAAUAAACGGUGUCAAUAAUAUUAAACAGCUCAUUAGUGAGGAGUUCAAGUAAUUUUACACCGUUCUUUAAUAACUUAUAUUUUUAAUGCCUUUUACGGCGUCAAUAACCAUAAUUUACAAAGGAGAAAAACAUUUUUAUAAGGAAUCCUUAUGGCGUCCAAAAUGGUAUAAAAAGCUUCUCACAGCAUCUUCCUUUAGUACUUGUUCUCUUCUAUUUUAUAUGUUCUCUUAGUCUUCAAUUUGCUAAAAUCAAAAGAAACAGCUUCUCUACUUGCCACUUGACACUCGUUUUGCUCGCUUUGUGUCACUCAUGCUGCUCGUCGCUUGAUGCUCAACAAGCUUGUUGCUCUCCGCUCUUUGCUCAAUGCUCACCCCACUCGACGCUCGCCGCUCGCCUCUCUUAGCUAACCUCGCUUGUCACCAAGCCCAUUGGAUCAGUUCGGUCUCCGGUCGCCUUUUCAGGAAAUACAAUACUAAAAAUGAAAUUAAAACUUAUUGGUUGGUCCAGGGUUAACCUUGGAAUUAGACCGAACUCAUUAGGUCGGUCCGGUUAUCGAUCGUCUUUUUAGGGAGUACAAAAAAUGAACUAAAAAAAUUAUUGGUCUUGGGUUGACCUUGGAACCAGAUUGAAUCCACUAGGUCGGUCCGAUCCUCGGUCUAGAGCUCAAUAAGGUUGGUUCUUGAUACUAAAAAUUGAGAAUCAGUAUUGUGCGGAUUGUUCUUAGGGUUAGGGGGUGGACCGGCUUAACUCAGAUCAUGCUCACUCCUAAUUCUGGAUUAGAUCUAUGAACUCAUUGCCUGAUGGAGACUUUGAGAGGUUACAGUGUGCUUUAAAGCUUGAGCAACUGGUUUUCUAUUUGAGUAAUUUAUUGAUCAUCGUGGCCAUUGAUUUUGCAUAGAGACACCGAAAAGAGAAUGUUAGAUGAAGAAAAUUAGAAUGAAUAGUACUAGCUGUGUUAAUCCAUGCAUUUUCAUUUUUGCCAUCAUAUUACCGAUUUGGAAGAAAAUUAGCUGUCCUUGUCCCCCCUUCUUUCAAUCUUCAUUGUAGCGUCAAUUGACCCAGAAUGUUCAGUUUAAACAUUGCAUGACAUCUAAAUCGAUCAUUGCAUAACGCAAUCCUAUUGAAAUGUUAAAUCCCCCCCCCCCCCACAUAGAAACCUUCCCGGUAUCAAUAAUUUGCUAUCCUGACUACAGCUUAAAGAUAGAGCCAGAGAGAGAGAGAGAGAGAGAGAGAGAGAGAGUUUUUGUCCGGACAGACGGUGAUUAUACCAGAUGGGCGCCUUGCAAAGAUGACUUCAAAAAAUAUGAGAAAAUUUGUUGCCCUGCCUAGACGUUAUCGUAUUUUGCUGUUUUGGAUAGGUAUCCAAAUACUUUUCUUGCUUUUUGAUAAGUAAGUGAAUUUGAUUAGAAUAAACUGCGAAAAAAAUAAAAUUAGCUUAGAUUAAAUUCAAUAUGUAACAUGACUCAUGCUCUUUAUCGAGUAAAAAAUUGUAUGGAUUUUCACUAUUUUUCGUAAGAGAAAAGUUAAAAAUAAUUUGUAUAACCAUCAAUAAAAUAAUAAUUGACAUUAUUAUAUUAGAGAAUUCAAUUAACUAACCUUAGAAAAUGCAAUAAAUGCUAAGAAAAAGAAGGUAGCAAAGUUAAUUUCUGAGCAAGAAAAAAAAUCAUGAGUCAAUUUUUUUAUUUUUUGAAAAAAAAAAUAAAAAGGGAAGGGCGAUUGCCGAGUGGCCCUCCCCACUCUAUCAAUUGUGAUGUGUCUUGUAUGGGUACCAUGUACAUAUAUGGCAAAGGUAAGGAUGUAUUUUCUAGCUACAACUCGUAUUUGAUAUCAAUGAACUAUAUCCUGAUUAUGGACAGUUUAAUGAAUUGUUAAAUAUUAUUUUAUUGAGGGGAUCUUUGAUCUUCGGUGUAUCAUUGGGUAUGUAAUGAUGAUAAUCAACGUAUUGAGAAUCGCAAUAUAUUCUUAUUUAGUUGCUUAGGAAUUGUUUUUGAGACACUUUUAAAAUAAAUAUUUUUGAUAUUACACUUUACUGCCCCAAGUAGAAUAAUUUAGAAUACAAAAGGGCACCCUUCAAAUGAUGCAAAUAUAUUAUUGUCCAAAAAUUGUAAUUGCGAAGCUUGUUCAUAAGGAAAACUCAUUACUGAACAUUUUAUAACAAAGGUUAAUCUUGAAUGCCCUUUAUUCCUGCAAAGAAUUCAUUGUGAUAUUUGUAGAUCAAUGUAACCACCAAGUGGACCGUUUCGAUAUUUUAUGGUAUUAGUGGUGUAGAUGAUCCCAUAAUUGUCUAUUAUCUAUGCACAAUAUCACUUUUACAUGUUUACUUACGCAGAUUAUAAAACUCCGGACACAAUUCACUAAUUAUCCAAUUAAAAGCAUAAGGAUGGAUAAUGCUGGUGAAUUUACAUCAAAGAGUUUUGAUAUCUAUUGUGCUUCAUUCGAAAUCGAGGUUGAGCACCCAGUCGCAUAUGUUCAUAUCCAAAAUGGAUUGGCAGAAUCAUUGAUUAAACAUAUCCAAAUUAUUACCUGAACUCAAUUAGCCAUAAUGAAUCUCAACGAUACAGCAUGGGGUUAUGCAGUUUUGCAUGCGGCAGACCUAAUAAGAUUGCACCCCACAUCUAGUCUUUUACAAUCUCUCAUUCAAAGCAUUCUUGAUUAUGAACCAGACAUUUCACAUUUAUGCACAUUGAUUGUGCAGUAGAGGUGCCUGUAGCACAAAGAACAAAAAUGGGUUCCUAACGCCAUUUGGGCAUUUAUGUUUGUUGGGUUUAAUUCACCAUCCAUCAUUAGGUUCUUAAAACCAACUAUUGGUGAUCUUUUUACUGCCAAAUUCGUCGAUUGUCAUUUCGAUGAGACUAUGUUUUCAUCAAUUAGGACACCUACAACUCCUAUGAUUACAAAACAAAACCAGUUAAGCUUUUCUCCCGGAAUAAGAAAAAUUUAUUUCAAUUAGAUCCAAGGACUCCUAAGUGCAAAAACGAGGUGCAUCGCAUAAUCCAUUUACAGGCUAUAGCCAAUAGACUUCCUGAUACAUUUAAUGACGUUACUAAGAUAACGAAGUCUCAUAUUCCAGCUACAAAUGCUCCAACUAGGAUAGAUGUUGUCGAAGGAUAGGCUAAAAUGGAUCAAACCCCCCCCCCCACUUGAAGCGUGGUAGACCGAUAUGAUCAAAAGAUACUGUUCCUCGAAAACAAAGAUGAAAGAAUCAAGAAUCCGCUCCAGAAGAACCUGGUGUUGUGCUUGCUCCCAAAGAGCUUAUUGCCCCUAAAGAGGCACAAACUCAUGAAAGGAACACCAACCCGAGGAAUACUAAGAAUUCCAUUACAUAUUAUAAUGAGAUUUGUGAUCAAAAUGAAAUUAUCAUCGAUAAUGCUUUUGCAUUCUCAGUUGCUCAUAAAAUUAUGGAUAAUGAUUGUGAAAAAAUGAGCUUACUUUUUGUCAUAGAUAUAGAGUGAUAUAUUAGAAAUAAAAUUUUCUCCUAUGGUUUUCUCUACUAUAUUUGGUAUUUAUCUGCUUUCUUUACUCAAUCUCUCUAUUAUCUCUAUUAUAUAUUUGCAACGCAAUAUUAUACAAUACGACACAGCAUUUUUGUUUUCCUCUUGCAUUUCGUACCUCGUGCCGUAUCAAAUUCGAGUGUUCAUCGAGCGCAGUCUUUGGGUGUUUUUUUUUUUCUUUCUUUCUUUUUUAUAAAUAUUGCUAAGAGGAGAGAAUAAUGAAGGUGGAUGCAUGAAGGGGCAAUAGGAUAAAACCGCCGGUUGCACCGGUUGCUUUUGGCCUUUCUUCUUUUCUUUUUCUAAGUGUUUUGUAUGUAAAGAGAGAUACUUCGUUCCUUGUUUGACGAGUACCAGAUCUCUUCCAAUCCAAACCACCAAAAAAAUUGAAAAUAAAAAUGAGAGUUGCGAGCCUCUUUUUGCUGUUGUUUGACGCGGUAGAAACAAGCGAUGUUUCAUUAGAUAGGCAGUCAGCCUAAUAGGAGAGUUGGGGGUGGGGGGACAGUACGGUAAUGCUAAUCCCAAAUUGAUUUUAUAGUUGGGAUGCAUUUAUUUAAUGAAAAAUAAAUGAUUUGAAAAAUAUUUUCCUAAUAAUAAUUGCUUAUAUUACUUACAUCUUCCACAAGAAUAUUUAUACAUAAAUUGUUGUUGAUAAUGAAAAAUAUUUUUAAUUGACUACUUAUUUCAAGUAAUGUAAACGAUGAAUUUUUAGGGAAUAUUUCCAAAUUAGUCUUUUUUUUUUUUUACGAAAUAAAUAGAACAUUCAUGAGCCUUAAAACUUAUUUUGGGCCGGCUUGCCCCUUUGCAUAAGAUUACAUGCAUUAGUUUGGCUCGAAUUGUGCAGGGCCAUGGAUUAUGAGUCCAAUUAUAACCACUCUAAGAACACUCGACUAAUACACUAUAAAAUUCAAGAGCAAAUUUGUGUGUUUUAAUAGCGUCCGUUCUUCCAUUUGUGGGAAAUUAGUACACAUAUAUUUCAGCAUAGAUUUUUUUCGCAAAAUUGUAUCAUAUUUCAAAUAAAUCUCCCUAUCUAGAAUAAAACAAAGGCAUAAUUCUUAGUUCAAAUGAUGUGUUAAUGUAAAAUAUAAGACUUGAUAACAAUUAGGAAAUUGUUAAUUUUUGUUAUUAUAUGACGUAGGGAGAUUCAUAUGUAAUUAACGAAACUAGUGUAAAUUUGAGAGAAAAUAAUAAAAAUCUUUCAAGGAACUUGACAGGUUGAGUUGAAACAAAAUGUAAGAAUUUUCAACAAUCGCUAAUUUGCAACGUUAAAACUCAUUAAAACUAAUUCCUUUUCCUUUUUGUUGAACAAAACUUGUGUUAUUGAAUGAGGCAAAGUACAAAUUUUGGUUGAAAGAAAAAUGAGUGGAGAGUGCAAAAAAGAAGUCCUUGAAUGGAGAGGGAUCCAUUCCAAUUUAGAGUUAUGGGAUAAUUCCACUAAAAAUUAUAAAUUUCAUACUCCAUGACAUAGUUAUUUAAACUAAUUUUGUUUUACAAAAAAACCCAAACUGCAUACCCUAUGACAAUUCACCCAAAAUUAAUUUUCAUCUCACAUAAAAUCCCAAACUAAUACCUCAUGAUAUAUUUGAUGGUUUUAUUAAUAUUGUGAUGGGCCUAAGUUGGCCUGUCCGCCCAUGUUGGGCCUAAAAGCCUGGCCCACAAAAUUAGGGCCCAUGGAUGGAGGGAUACGUUGAAGAGUUGUAACUUUUGGGGGACGUCUUUUGCUGAAGGGACAUGUCUUUUGGAGAAGACGUAUUUAAGGGGAGAAAAGAAAAAAGAAAAUGCACCUUUUGGACGUACGCGCACUUUUUCUUUUCCCCUCUCCCAAAAACCAAUGUAAGUUUUCUCCCCUUUUGAACCAACAGUAGGCUCCUUGGUAGACCGGGAUCAGAUUCUUCCUCGAUCUUCAGCAUUGGUGUUUAAUAUGUGGUUAACAAGGUACGCUCGAUUACGUGGUGUGCUUUAAGAUUGGUGAUACAUGUUCUUUCUAGGCUUGUCUUCCGCAUUCGUUUCAGGGGUUCAAUUUAGUGUCGAAUCCGGUUUUUUGGGAAUUCGACAAUCCCAACAUUGGUAUCAGAGCCCUAGUUCAUGUUUUCCCGUUCCCUUUCAUGUUUAUGAAUGAUUUACUGAUUGAUUUUUCGUGAAAUUAAUCGGCCGACACCGAUCGGGGAGGAAAAACCCGACACCCGAGCACUGUUCACCCAUUUUUUUCGAUUUUUUGUAAGUCAAAAUUUUUUUUCUAACAGCGUAGGAUCGAAGCCCUGUCGAGACGAGAAAAACGAGUGGCGGAUUGACGACGGGGGCCGUCGGACGCGCCGCCACGCGCGACCGGAACGAGGAGGGGUCGUCAGCGCGUGCAACGCACGCACGAAAGCCUGGCGCAUGCCGCGCACGCGCAGAAGCCUAGCGCGUGCCGCGCACGCGCCAGCUGACUCUGCGUGACGUCAGCCCGCCCAUGUACAUGGCACGUGCCAGUCGGUUUACCCGACUAGCUGACCGAGCUAGCCGGUUCGACCUACCGCCGUUAGGGGUGUGCAUGGUCCGAGCGGGCGGUUCCCGACCUAGAACCAGGAACCGCCCGCUAAGGACCGAUUCCGAAAAAUUGGAUCCGGGAUCCACCCGUUUGUUGCAUGGAUCCACCCGGGAACCAGACCGCCGGUUCGGUCCGGUUCCCGGGUGGAUCCACGGAACCGAUCUUGACGUGAAAAAUCGACUCAAUUGGACACAAAAAAUUCAAGAAUUAGAGAAAUCUCGCUCGGCUAUUCUAUCACCAAAACAGGUAGUGCUAAGAGGGUUCGUGGGGAAGAGUUUCAGUCAUAAAAACCCCUACUCGGCUCGAAGACGGCGGCGCGAAGGCCAGUUAGAGACGAAUCGAACUUCAGUCAGCCGGGAACGAACGGUUUGAACCAAAAGGAAACUCACCGGAAAUGCUGAGGUUUGGGAACGAGAAGUCUUCUGCUCGAGGUCGGCGAUUGGCGUCGAGGAUAGGCGAGCAAUGCUCGACGUCGAUCCACUUCUCCCUCACUGUUGGUGUGGUGGUCGACGCGGAGGCGAGUUGUGGAGUCGCGGGUCACUGCUGGGCGGAGCAGAGGCUAUGGCGAGUGGUAGCCGGUGCGAGGGGGCAAACAACAGCAGUAGCCGGCACGAGGGGGCGAACACGCCGAACAGCAGUCGCGGCCCGCGGGUCACUGCUGGGCGGAGACAAUCACCGAAGAACCGAAGAAGUUGAAGAAGUCGAAGAAGUCGAAGAAGAAGAGAGACAGAGAAGAGAGACAGACAGUCACAGAACAGAAGAACCGAAGAAGUUGAAGACAUUGGACAGAGGAGAGAAGUCUCGGUUAGGGUUUGUUUUAUUUUAGUAAUAUUUUAAUAUUAAGAAGGUUCUGGUCCGGUCUGGGUGGGCGGGCGGGCGGAUCUGCCCAUGGAACCGGGAACCGGACCGGUUCCCUCAAGAACCGUCGUUUCCGAGUGGUUCCGGUCCGGUUCCGGGCGGUCCGGGCAGUUCCCGGGUAUUUUGCACACCCUUAGCCGCCGUGACUCANNNNNNNNNNNNNNNNNNNNNNNNNNNNNNNNNNNNNNNNNNNNNNNNNNNNNNNNNNNNNNNNNNNNNNNNNNNNNNNNNNNNNNNNNNNNNNNNNNNNGCUCUCUCUCCUCCCCUCCCCUCCCCCACGCCACAACCAGCUCCCCUGCCCCCUCAGUUUCUUCCUCACAAUCUUCUCAACUCUUUCGGUCGUCUCAUCGCUGUCGCCUUCGGCCCUUCCUCCUUCGCAGCAGCUGCAGCCUCGCCGCCGGCCCUCCAUCGCAGCCUCGCCUCAGUUUAUGCUCUUUCUCUCGCUGUCGCGGCCUCAUCUCCGCUUCCUCGGCCUCUUCCUCGCCUCACCUCUACCCAUCAUCGUCUUUUUCAACAAUUUCUCUCUCGGACACUCGUGUCGACAAAAGUUGACCAUGUGUCGGAUUUCUCGACCGCGUGUCCGAGCGUAUCGGACACGUCGACAUAUGUCGGACACGACAUGGAAGCCUCAACGUGUCCGUGCCUCAUAGGUUGCGACUCUCUUCUUGUUGUUUGUCAUGGUAGAAAGCGGAGAAUAGGGAUUAGAUAGUUGUUUAUUGCGAUAACAAGGGGGAAGACACCCUGUAGUUAUGCUAAUCACGUGUUGAGUGACUUAAGGCAAUUCAGAUGCUAUUCAUCGAAAGGACAUCACUGCAUUCCAUUCAAUUAUUGAGAGGACUUCCUGUACAAUUUUCCUCUUUUGACUCAAAGUUGACCAUCGCUCUCUUUUGCAUCUUCUUCCUCCUCCUCUUCCUUUUCUCAAUCAUCUCUCUGCUCAGAGUUUCACUACAGAGUCACUAUAGACCAUGGUUUCAUUCUGCAAUCUCCUUUCUUUCUUUCUUUCCGUAUCCUUCAUUUUGCUAUCGUCAUUCUCCAACUUCAUUGACGCUCAAGCUCAUGAUUAUGAUUCAAUUGCCACGCUUUCAACACGGUGGACGAAUAAUGCAACAGCCAAUCACUUCACCCGACAUAUCGAUGGAUCCAUCGUGCAGGCAAUUAUACUCCGAGGCAAAGAAGAAGUUUUGAACCUUACCUAUGCCUGCGGCUUCUACUGUAAUGGUACCUGCAACUCUUCCCUCCUUGUUGUUUGCAUGGUCCGACUUAACGAUAGUGGCUUAAUUUCUGAGUACACCAUUCAACAAAUAGUGUGGUCUGCCAAUUGAAAUAAUCCUGUAAAGAUCAGUGCGACGUUGGAGCUCACGUCUGAAGGCGAUUUGGUGUUGAAAGAUGCCAAUGAUACGAUUGCUUGAUCUACAAUCACUUCUGGAAAGUCCGUGGUAGGCUUGAACUUGACAGAUUUGGAGAACCUCGUGUUGUUUGAUAAGGACAAUGAAACUGUUUGGCAGUCUUUCGAUGAGCCAACCGACUCACUUGUCCUCGGACAAAAGUUGAGGCAGGGACAAAGAUUGAUGGCGAGUGUUUCCAAGACAAAUUGGAACAAUGACUAUAUGAUUUCGCUUUCCAUGGAUGGUGAUCUUUUACGUGCUCAAGUGGAGACUAAUCCUCCUCAAAUAUAUUUUGAGGAUAGAGGUCCAACUUGGAAUGCAAGCAUCGAGUUUCCUUAUGUUGAGUUUGUAAAUGGAAGCUUGUCUUGGAUCUUAGAUUCUACCUCAAAUUAUACGUUUAGAUUAGUCACUCCGGUAUCUUUUGCACAAUACAUGAAGCUGGGCUCGGAUGGGCAUUUAAGAGUGUAUGAUUAUGAUGAGUUCGGGAGGUGGGUAGAAGUGGACGAUCUUUUUGGAUUGGAGGACUGUCUUUGGGCCCGUUUGGUUCGGCUUUUGGGGAAUGCAUUUACCAAAAUGCAAAUACCUUUGGGUGAAUGGGAUUUUCCGAAAUGCAAAUAUCGUUUGGUAAAAUUUGCAUUUGUAAAUUACUUUUAUUAAAUUAAAAAAAAACCAAAAAAAAAUCUAUUUUUCAUUUUUUGAAAUCCGACCACCGGACCGCCGGAUCCGGCGACCGGACCGUCGGAUUUGGUGGCCGGACCGUUGGAUCCGGCGGCCGGAUGGCCGGAUCUGGCCGCCUGGGUCGCGCGACCUCAGGCGACCGUCACCUGGGGUCGCACGACCUCAGGCGACAGUCGCCGGGGUUGCGCUGGCGGCCGGAUGGCCAGAUCUGGCCGCCUGGGGUCGCGCGACCUCAGGCAACGGUCGCCGGGGUCGCGCUGGCGGCCGAAUGGCCAGAUCUAGCCGCCUGGGUCGUGCGACCUCAGGCGGCCGUCGCCUGGGGUCGCGCGACCUAGGCGACGGCCGUGCGCGACCUAGGCGACCGUCGCCUGGGGUCGCUCGACCCCAACAACUGUCGACUGCCUGAGGUCGCGCGAUCCAGGCGGCCGACCCCUGGGUCGCGAGAUCCGGACCUCGCCUGAGGUCCGGCGACCCCAGGCGACGGUCGCCGGGGUCGGGCGACCCUCAGGCGGCGGUCGCCGGCGCGCGCCAUCCCUUCGCCGGUGGUCGUCGGCUUCCGAUCAGCAGCUUGGAGAGGUUGGAGAAGAUAAACAGUAACCGAGCUACUUGCAUUCCCAGGAUGCAACUUGCCAAUGCACCCCAAGAGCUCCAUUGGGCUAAAGGUCUUUAGACUCCUUUGGAGAUGCAAUUGCAUCUUGCCAAAGUCGCGCAAAAAUACGAACCAAACGCAUUUGCAUUUUGCCAAAGGACUUUAGAGUCCAAAUGAGCAUUUGCAAUGCUGAACCAAACAGGCCCUUUAUCCGACGGUGUGUGGGCAAUAUGGAAUUUGUUCCAAUGGGCAAUGUAGUUGUCCGACUUCGAGUGCGGGGACAAGCUAUUUCCAGCUUGUAGAUGAUAGGUAGCCUAAUCUUGGGUGUUCCGAGAAUCUUCCAUUGUCUCGUGGGGCUUCACAACAACAUUUCCUGGAGCUCAAAAAUAUCGUGUAUUUCAAUUUCACUCCAAAUCUCAAGGACAUAGAUGCUUCAAGUUGUAAAGAGGCCUGCGCAAAGAAUUUUUCAUGCAAAGCAGCUAUAUUUCAGUAUGAAUCGAAUCGCACUAAUGGCAGUUGUUACUUACCAACACAGGUUUUUUCACUUAUGAAUGUUGAUGAGAUAAUGAAUUCUACUGCCUACCUUAAAGUACAAAUUAUGGCCACUGAAGCUCCUACUGCUUUGGUUGACAAUCGAACGAGCAACCGUCUCCCUAUAAUACUUGGUUCCAAUCUUGGAGCUCUAUUAGCCAUGAUGAUUUUCAUCGUAGCCAUAGGUUUGUUUGUUCAAAAGAGAGACAAUAAUCAAGCAGAGGAGGAUUACCUUGAUCAAGUACCUGGAAUGCCCACUAGAUUCACAUAUGACGAUCUAAAAACCAUCAUAGAUGAAUUCAGUAAAAAGCUUGGUGAAGGUGGUUUUGGUUCUGUUUUCGAAGGUACUCUAAGUGACGGCACAAAAGUUGCAGUGAAACGCCUUGAUGGUUUUGGGCAGGUUAAGAAAUCCUUUCUAGCUGAAGUUGAGACUAUUGGCAGCAUCCAUCAUGUGAACUUGGUAAGACUCAUGGGAUUUUGUGCUGAGAAAUCCCAUAGGCUCCUUAUUUAUGAGUACAUGUCAAAUGGGUCUCUAGAUAGAUGGAUCUUUUACAAAUCCAAUGAAUGUGUUCUCGACUGGCAACAAAGGAAGAAGAUCAUUCUCGAUAUAGCAAAAGGACUUAAUUAUCUUCAUGAAGAUUACAGACAGAAGAUAGUUCACUUAGACAUCAAACCUCAAAAUAUCCUCUUAGAUGGAAAUUUCAAUGCUAAGGUUGCUGAUUUUGGAUUAUCGAAGUUGAUAGACAAGGACCAAAGCCAAGUCUUCACAACAAUGAGAGGAACUCCUGGUUAUUUGGCCCCCGAAUGGCUGAGUGUAGCAAUCACUGAAAAGGUCGAUGUAUAUAGCUUUGGUGUGGUAAUCUUGGAGAUAGUGUGUGGGAGAAAAAUUUUCAAUCACUCUCGAGAUGAAGAAGACAUGUAUUUAUUGAGCCUUCUUAAGAGAAAGGCAGAAGAGGAACGGUUGCUGGACAUUGUGGAUAAGGCUAGUGAUGACAUGCAACUAAAUGGACCACAUGCGGUGAAUAUGAUGAGGAUUGCCGCAUGGUGCUUGCAAGGAGACUAUAUGAAGAGGCCCUCCAUGUCGAUGGUCAUCAAGGCAUUAGAGGGCAUCAUGGGAGUUCAAGAAGACUUGGAUUAUGACUUCUCUACUCAGCCUUCCACUAGUGGAGUAGUGAGAUUUGGUCAGAUGGACGUCGAAUUCAAUGCUAUUACUGCAUUGCUACCCUCAGUUCUAAGUGGUCCACGAUGAUGUAGCAAAUUUAUAAGAACAUUUCUUCCCAAUAUGUCAAGUGGCAAAACGUGCAUGCGAUUAAAUUUUUCAAACUGUGAGGACUCUAGCUUGUCAUUCUCUUUUCAAGCCCAUAAAAAGGCUUGUGACAUGAUAUUAUUUCUCGUUUUCACUUUGCCAAUUAGUGAACUUUGCUAUAACUUGGCAAAGGAUUGAGUUGGUUAGAAUAUUGCAAUUUGGUUUUAUUGCUUAUGUAGAAAUCGGUCAUGUUCAUGUUUGUUGUGUGCUAGUCUUGGGAAAGGAGGAAACUAUUGAGUCAUUUGUGUAAAAAGCCGCUGCAAGACUAGUCAAUUGCUGGUAAUGUCUUUUGGCAGUUUUACCAGUCAUGGAUGCAAAUCUAAUAUACUUUUGGGUUCCAACACUUGAUAUCCUUAGGAUUUGAUGACUCUACCUUUCAUGACUUGCUCAUUUCAAGGUUAUUGAGUUAUAUUUAGUUUAUUUUGUGAGCGCACGAUUAAAACUAAUAAAGAUGAUGGGAGAAUUCAUCACUAGUGAGUUUGGAUUUUUCCUAACGCCUCCUAAUGUAUCCUAGGUUAAUAAUCUCAACUUCCAGCUUCUUAAGGAUCCGUUGAGGUCGUUUUGAGACAUAUGUUUGUUAAGAAUAAAGAACCAAGAUGUUUGGGCAUUUCAGAUUCGACUCUCCGAUCUUUAGAUAACAUUGAUGAUCCUCAAUAACCUUGGUUUUGCCGCUGACUUUAAUCAUCUUGAUCCAAGCAUGCUGAUCCAUCAAAUUUAACCGGGGAUAAGAAGCUUGUUUGGGUCUUAUCUGGUCCCGGAGCUGCUCGCACAAUUAACGAAAGUUAAAAGCAAUUUGAUGUGGCUCCCCCGGCCAUGCCGUGGCACCUUUUGAUUGGGUCUGGCCACGGCAGACCAACAAACCCGAGCCCACAUGGAGCUUAACCAUAGGCUCGAGCUAUGUGUAACCUCUCGCAAAGUCCUCCUCCCUCUUCCCGGCACAAACUCACUAGUGACGGAACUAUUUCUUCUUCUUCUUCCAACGCCUCCUCUUCUUGAAGUCUCCGAAUCGGAGUCGCCAACUGUAAGUUAUCACGCAUUGCGCGGGGAAUCGAUAAUCUCGCGAUGAAUCUGUCAAUCUUCUCCUCGGCCAUGGAAGGCAUCGCGUGGAGGGGAUGGUUCUACACGGUGUUCAUUCUGCACUUCGUGCUCGCUUGCCAGUUCCUCCUCCUUCAGCCUCUCGUCUCUGCCCUAGGCACGUCGUUCGCUUAGAUCUGCGAACGGGUGCUGGAUGGAUAUUCUUUGAGGGGUUGUGGCGUGCUCUAAUCGUUCGCGUCUCGAGUCGCCAAUUAGAGACUGGCGAUGAAUUGGUGGAUUCUUUUGUAGGGAUCCCGUCGGGAUAUUCGAGACUAGGCAGGUGUUUGUGCAGGAAAGACGAGAUGAGAUGGACUGAAGAAUCUUGAAAUGUCCCUGCUGGAUCAAAACUCUAGUUUCGGAGGGAUACUUUUGGCUUUUACGUGAUGCGUAUGUUGUACGAUUGAUGAAUUAUUGCCAGCGUGGGGACCGGGGAGUUCUAUCUAAUUCCAGUUCAUUCUCGUCCUGAGGGCGGCGGCAUCGUGGGACUUUUCCAUCGGUUGCUUUUGGCCUCUCUUCUUUUCCCUUUUGUAGCGUUACGUAUGCAAAAAGAGAUACUUUGUUCCUUGUUCGACGAGUAGCGAGUCUCUUCCAAUCCAAACCACCAAAAGAAUAUAAAAAUAAAAAUGAGAGUUGCGAACCUCUUUCUGCUGUUUGACAGUGGUAGAAAGAAAGAAGUGAUGUUCUUUUUUUUUGUUGGGGGGUAGAAGACACCAUUCCGAUUUGAGUUUAUAGUUGAGGAGUGUUUAUUUAAUGAAAAAUAUAUGAAUGAUUUGAAAAAUAUUUUCCAAAAAAUAGUUGCUUGUAUUAUUUAUAAAAAUAGAUUAAUGAAAAACAUUUUUAUUUUCCAAGAAAAAAUUUAGACAUAAUUUGUCGUUGAUCCCUUUUUUUAGUGAAUCAAGACAGAAAAAGUUUAAAUAUUAGAAAAGGCCAAGCCACACUAAAAAAAGCCUUUGCUGUUUUAGUUAUGAGUGAAUCGAGGUUUACGUGUAAGAUUUCAACUCAGUGACUAUUUUUUUAUUUCUCUGGAUUCUCUGGAGAGCUAAGCUAUAAAGUAACCUGAUAAUGGAAUCGACAAACUUAUUACAAGUUACAUAGAGUAUAACAAAAGUUCCAAAUGCUGCUCACAAUUUCAUUCCCUGUAAAAUCGGUACAUCUAUUCUCCAUGAGAAGCACAUAGUACGUGUCCCUCCAUUAUUGGCAAAACAACCAUAAAAAAACCCCCCAGCAGAGCCAGGGUGAUCACUAUCUUUCCUUCAAGCGUCUGUGUUUACUAAUACAGAGAGAGAGAGAGAGAGAGAGAGAGAGAGAGAGAGAGAGAGAGAGAGAUUCCCAGAAUGUGGGAGCUUUGUGAACAUGGUCAACUGGACUUACUGGAUAAAAUCAUCGUCAAGCUAAGAGGAAACGCCCCUGAAAGAUUAGUUUAGCCAAAAUCUGAUGAACCGUUAGACCCAUGUUCUGAGAAGUCAUAGCUAGACAAUUGGAUAUAUCCUACAAUCAAGACCCUAUGCAUAUCCAUAGAGGGUGAUAACUAUCUCAUCAUACAACGUCAGGUCCCUUGAUUUUGAAUUAAUGAUCACACGAUGCAAAAGCCUAUUGCUCAUCGGAAACUCAAUUGGAUCUCCCAAGGCCCUCUAAUAGGGAGCAUAACGGGGAAGCAUUAUUCCACUUCUUGUUAAAGGGUUGCUAACUCCCAGUCCUCAGCACUACAGGAGAGUGUCGCCACAAUAAAUGGAACUUCCACAGGAGCGCACGCAAAUCUAAGGACCAGAGCUAGUCAGUAAAAUCUUCAAUACUCAUUGUAAUAGGCUUUCCUUCGAAUAGCAGACAGUAGGAAUGUACAACUAGAACCCUGUGGAAAAGUUGAGUCGAGUUGUGGAGGAGAUCUAUAUUGAGAGGAAAUAGGAAAGUCCUACAAUAAUAAAGAUCAAUUGAUAUCCCAGGAACCAGACGCCAUUGAAAAACAAAAGGAAGCACGGCACCAUAAAGUCUAGAAGAUGGGAUCACACAAUCAAAUUAGGUAGCUUCUUCAACCACCUGAUAAAUCAGAAAAAGGGCCAUCAUCACCAUUUGCAGUUCAGAAUCUAUAUAGCAAAGGCUAUGACUAGGCUAAAAUUAGUCAUCAACAUCUAACUAAACAAAGCCCCUCUAAAAUAACUACCAGAAGACUACAUAACCUGUUUUAUUCUGGAAAAAUGAAGAGAAGGCUACAUAACCUCUUGAGCACCUGUAUUUAUCAACUCAAACAUGACUGAAAAGGGGACUCACAUGAGAAUUUCCCAGAGAGAAGAGAGAGAGAGAGAGACACUCAUGUAGGUGGAUGCCACAGGAUCCGGCCAUCCUUACCUGCAUACGAAGACAUGUCCUUCCAAAUUCUCGAUUUAAUAAAAGUCAAGCAAGACAAAUCAUACCAGCCGUACCCAACAAAACCUGCACAACAGAAACAGGCAAACCUAGUCGAUGAAAGGAUAUUCAAUUUAACUGAAGGUCCCAGUGAUAUCAAGCCAUCAUACUUGCAACAUUAGGGCUGGGAGAUACUAUAAGCCUAGUGUUAGACAUAAAAAUUCAUAUGCAGAAGCCAGGAUCAAUUGAAGACAAACCUCCGGUCAUUGUUCUUGUUCGCAUUCGUAAGAAAAACCUGAAAUCAAAGAAAAUUGGGGACACGCUACUACCCCAAUUCACUCUCGUACUGAUGGUGUAUUCUGAAUGAGAGAGUUUGAGUUAGACCUUGUCAUCACCCGUCAGAAAUGAACGUACGUUCCUUUUAUAUCCCGUCUCCCAUCAAAACGGUUACCAAAUGGGCGGUUGUCACAAAAGGGUACGAAGCGUGGAAAAACUUUAUGUCGAACAGUUGCAACUUUAAGAGAAAAUGUAGGUCUAAAAUGUGGGAUCACAAAAAUAAAUAACAUUCUCCCACUUGAUCCCAUCAUUUUCAUCAUACGGAUUAUUCAACUAAUUCCACAAAAACUUUAUGCUUAAAGAAAAGAAACAAAACACAUGGAUCAUGGCGACAUGUCCUCUAAGAGUGAGUAAUAUCUUCCAUGUAUCACAAUGCACCUUAUUUCUUUAAUGUUAGCCUAUAUGUGACAACAAAUCUUAAUGAAUAAACCCCAUGUUUAUUCCAAAACCAAGGAUAAAUGUUAUUCUCAUAAACAACAAAAUGUGUACACAAAAAUUGAGAAUCAACAUUACAACUGAAUAAGAGUUUCAUACAACAAAAAUCGUUCAUAUGACGACAAAUUACAUGAUGGGACCUAUUCGCAUACUAGUUACAUGAUCCUUAUACUUCAUUGGUGGCAUGCCUUUAGUUAAAGGAUCGGCUAUCAUCAAUUCAGUGCUAACGUGUUCAAUGACCACUUUAUUCUCCUUAACACGUUCCCUUAUGGCUAAAUACUUAAUGUCGAUAUGCUUACUUCGACUGCCACUUUUGGCAUUUUUAGCCAUAAAAACCGCAGCUGAAUUGUCACAAUAUAUUCUUAAUGGCCUAGAAAUUGAAUCAAUAAUUCUAAGCCCAGCAAUGAAACUCUUCAACCAUACACCAUGCGAGGUAGCCUCAAAACAAGAAACGAACUCAGCCUCCAUAGUGGAAGUAGCAGUCAAAGUCUGCUUGGCACUUCUCCAUGACACGGCUCCGUCAGCUAACAUAAAAAUGUAUCCAGAUGUUGAUUUUCGUGAAUCAACGCAGCCCGCGAAGUCCGCAUUCGAAUAACCGAUCACUUCCAGGUUGUCAGUCCGUCUAUACAUAAGCAUAUAGUCUUUGAUACCUUGACGGUAUCUCAUCACUUUCUUUGCAGCUCUCCAGUGGUCUAAACUUGGAUUACUCUGAUAUCUUCCCAACAUUCCCACAACAAAAGCGAUGUCAGGUCGAGUGCAAACCUGAGUAUACAUCAAGCUUCCAACAGCAGAAGCAUAUGGAAUGUUGUACAUUUGUUCCCUUUCUAGAUCGUUCUUCGGGCAUUGGUUCAAAUUGAACCUGUCACCCUUCACAAUGGGUGCUAUACUUGGUGAACAAUCUUUCAUCCAAAAUCUCUCUAGGACCUUAUUGAUAUAGGUUUCUUGAGAUAGUUCUAAAAUGCCUCGAGGUCUAUCUCUAUGGAUCUUAAUGCCAAUGACAUAAGAUGCCUCACCCAUAUCUUUCAUGUCAAAACUCUUAGAGAGAAAUUGUUUCACCUCAUGUAGCAACCCCUUAUCAUUGGUUGCAAGUAGUAUAUCAUCCACAUACAGUACAAGGAAACAACUUUUGCUCCCACUGACUUUCUGGUAUAUACAUUGAUCCAUGACAUUCUCUACAAAACCGAAUGAAGAGAUGACUCCAUGGAACCUUAAGUACCAUUGGCGGGAUGCUUGUUUCAAGCCAUAUAUAGAAUUCUUAAGCUUGCACACCAAAUGCUCACCUUUACUAGAGGAGAAUCCUUCAGGUUGUUUCAUGUAAACCUCCUCAUCUAGUUCUCCAUUGAGGAACGCCGUUGUCACAUCCAUCUGAUGUAAUUCCAUAUCAAAAUGGGCAACCAAUGCCAAAACAAUACGAAGAGAAUCUUUCUUAGAUACAGGAGAAAAAGUCUCCGUGUAAUCGAUUCCUUCCUUUUGAGUGAAUCAUUUGGCAACAAGUCUAGCUUUAUAUCUUUCAAUGUUACCCAAUGAAUCUUUCGUAGUUUUGAAGACCCAUUUACAACCAAUGGCCUUCGUACCAUUAGGUAACUCAACCAAAUCUCAGACUUUGUUAGAUGCCAUAGAACUCAUCUCUUCCUUCAUGGUAUUGUACCACAAAUUGGAUUUAUCACUAUCCAUGACUUGUGAAAACGUUUUAGGAUCAUUCUCAGCUCCAAUAUUGUAGUCAGACUCUUGUAAAUACACGAUAUAAUCACUAGGAAUAGCCGAUUUCUUUAUUCUAGAAGAUCUUCUCAAUGUUGCAUCAACAUUCUCUUGAGGAGCGUGUUGCUCAACUGGUUGUUCAACAGUUUCUGGUAAUUGCUGAACAAUUGGAUCUACUAGAUCAAUAUCAGCAGGUUGUGGAACUUCAACAAUUGAUUGUUCAAUAGCCGGCUGAACUGAAGGGGCAUUAUGAGCAACAACCAAUCUUAAACUUGAGGUGGAAGGUUGAGUAUUUGUAUGAUCUUUCUUAGGAUCAAGGUCCUUCGAUCGAUCGCUCCUGAUCAAGUCAUUUUCAAGAAAUUUAGCAUUUCUUGAUUCCACAAUCCUAGUGGUGUGAGAUGGACAAUAAAACCUGUAUCCCUUAGACCUUUCGGCAUAUCCAAUGAAAUACCCACUUAUGGUCCUUGGGUCCAACUUCUUUUCUUGUGGAUUAUAAACUCUCACUUCAGACGGGCAUCCCCAAACGCGCACAUGAUGCAAACUCGGUUUCCAACCCUUAAAUAACUCAAAAGGUGUCUUUGGGACAGCCUUGGUCAGAACUCGGUUUAAUAUGUACACUGCCGUCUUAAGUGCUUCAGUCCAUAAGAAUUUAGGAAGUUUGGAGCUGCUAAGCAUACUACGCACCAUGUCUAAUAAGGUCCGAUUUCUUCUUUCCGCUACGCCAUUUUGGUCCGGAGAACCAGGCAUAGUAUAUUGGGCAACUAUCCCAUGCUUUUGAAGAAACCUUGCAAAUGGACCAGGUGCUUGUCCAUCUUCAGUGUAUCUACCAUAGAAUUCUCCACCCCUAUCUGAUCUCACGAUCUUAAUUUGCUUAUCGCAUUGUUUCUCUACUUCCGCCUUAAAUACCUUAAAAGGCAUCUAAUGCUUCAUACUUAUUAUGAAUCAAAUAGAGAUACAUGUAACGUGAGUAAUCAUCUAUGAAAGAGAUGAAGUAUUUUUGACCACAUGAGUCCAUAUCCGGACUACAAAUAUCCGUGUGUAUGAUUUCUAAUAUUUAUGUACUCCUCUUGGCACCUUUCUUUGUCUUGUUAGUCUGCUUUCCCUUUAUGCAGUCCACACAAGUAUCACAAUCAGUAAAAUCUAAAGUAUCGAGUACUCCAUCAUUUACUAAUCGCUUAAUUCUUUCUAUGGAGAUAUGUCCCAAUCUUCGAUGCCACAACAUAGAGGAAUGUUCUUUCAUAACACAUCGUUUUAUACCAGCUUUAUCAUGAACAUGCAUCGCAUCAUAAUAGGCAUUGUCUUAUAAAUUAAUUUGAAAAAGACCAUCAGACAAAGUACCACUCCCGACAAUUUCAGAUUUAAAUGAUAAACAGAAGUUUGAAUCUGAAAAGUUAAAAGAGUAUCCCAAAGGUACAAGUCUUGAAACUGAAAUUAAGUUUCUAGAAAAACUAGGAACAUAAAAGGUCUUUUCCAAAUUUAAAACAAAACCACUAUUGAGAACUAGUCUAUAUGUCCCAAUAGCUUCCACAUGCGAACGCAUCUUGUUUCCUGAAUAGAUGCUUUGUUCACUUCCCACUGGCUUCAUGUGGUUUUGAAAACCCUGCAAGGAAUUCGAAAUAUGGAUUGUAGAUCCAGAAUCAAUCCACCAAGUGUUGUGACUUACAUCAGUCAUAUUAGAUUCAUAACAAACACAAGAGAUUGGAUUACCUUUCUUCUUGAGCCAAGCCUUAAAUUUGACACAAUCCUUCCUUAUAUGCCCAUUCUGUUUACAAAAGAAGCAUUUGGAUUCUUUCUUAAUGUCAGCUUGGGGAGGUAUUUUACCUUUUCCCUUAUGCUUGCCAUAGCCUUAUUCUUUCCUUGUGUUGCCAAAUGAGCACUUUCUCCCAAUUCCAUAACCAGUCUUUCUUCCUCUUGAACACACAUGGUCAUGAGUUCAUUAAUAGACCAUUUAUUCUUAUGUAUGUUAUAAGAGAUCUUGAAAGGUGCAUACUGUUGUGGGAGAGUGUUCAGAAUAUAAUACACAAGGAAGGAUUUAGAUAUCUCAACCUCAAGGUUCUUAAGCUGAGCUGCAAUGUUCCUCAUUUGCAUGAUGUGCUCACGCACACCUCUAACACUAGUGAGCUUCAAUGAUGAAAACUUCAUAAUCAGGGUCAUGGCAUGCGCCUUCUUAGAACUUUCAAACUGCGCAUCUAUGGCCUCCAAUAAAGCCUUAGCAUUGUUAUGCUGAGCAACCGAACCAUGAAUACUAGGAGAUAUCUUAGCUCUUAUAAACAUGGCACAAACACGGUUGGACCGCUCCCAUUGGUUAUAAAGAGCUAUCUCAGCUGGAGUGCUCGAAUCAGUAGGAGCAGGUGGUUCGUCUUUCCUUAUAGCAUAGUCAAUGUCCAUCCACCCCAAUUGAAGAAGAACUGACUCCUUCCAAACUUUAUAGUUCUCACCAUUCAGUAUAGGAACAUCAAACUUAAAUUCAGAGAAAUUCACAGGUUGCGAAAUUGCAUAUCAAAUAAUCAUGCUUAUACAAAAUUUGAGGCAAAUAUAAAUAAAUCAUGUUUUACCAAUGUAAACAUGUCACAAUAUGAAUCACAUAACAUAAAAACUACAUGUGGGCUAAGUUUUUAAUUUAAAUAGAUUCAUAAUUACUUCAUGAAAAAACUACCAUAUUAUAUGCAUUUUCUUAAUCCCUGUGGGUAAAUUAAGAAAAAUAAUAUGAUAUUUCAUCCUAAUUAAUCAUAUUAAUAUAAUGAAAAUUCCUGUGGGAUAAAAUUCAUCAUAUUAAUAUAAUUAAUUACAAUCAAUGUCCAUUUCUAAAUAUGAUCCGGAGGCUUUUAAUAUAUAAUUUAAUUAAUUAAAGAUGCUGUGGCCACUCCCUAAUUAAUUAAAUAUAUGGACCAUUGGACAUUUAAUUUCAUGCACAAAAUAUUCAUAAAAUACAUGAAAUGACAAAAUAGUAAAUAAAAACAUCGAAGGGCAGAACAUUAAAUAAAUCGGCCAAGGGCAUGAUUGCAAAAAUUUAAAAUGAAUGGGGCAAAAAGGUAAAAGCAGCAGCGGGUGGGAGUAGGGGUGAGCAUGGUCCGGGUUGGUCCGGGCCACCCCCUAACCCUAGGACCAACCCGUACAGUGUUGGUCCUCAAUUUUUAGGACCGAGGACCGACCCUACUGAGCCUGGGACCAAGGACCGGACCGACCCAAUGGGUUCGGUCCGGUUCCAGGGUCAACCCGGGACCGAUCGAUAAUUUAUUUCAUCUUGUUUUUUAUACUCCAUAAAAAAGUAAACCUACAAAUUCAAAUUACACAUCCAUCGAUAAUGCGGCAUUGUGCAACUAAACUAUAAAUACCAAUACAAGAUCUCAAAUGAAGUAGAUAUCACUAGUCAAGUUGUGUUUGGAAAGCAAGGGCAAGCUGAGCAUUAGGGUUUCUAAUUAGGGCUUCUUCUUUUUUCCUUUUGAUUUACUCGGCGAUAAGUGAGGCGACCGGCGCGAGUGGCGAGCGCAAGCGUCAAGUGUCGAGUGGGGUGAGCGUCAACUGGCAAGCGGCAAGCGUUUAGUGAGGCCAGGGGCAAGCGGCGAGCGUUGAGCGAGACUAGCGGCGAGUGUUGAGCGAGACUAGCGGCGAGUGGUGAGUGGCGAACGGCAUGAGCAGCGUGCACGGUCAAAGGUGAAAGGCGCGGGCAACCAGAGGCGAGCGGGAUGUUGCUACUUUUGAUUUUGGCAAAUUGAAGAACAAAGAAGACAAAAUGGAAGAGAACGUAGUUUAGGGAAGAAAGCCAUGAGGAGAUUUACGGCAUAAACUUCGCGCCAUUUUGGACAUCGCGAGUCCAUGACUAUGAGGAGUCCUUGGUCCUCACGGUGAAGAAUGUACUCUGGAGUCUAGACUGUGGAGGAGGAGGCCGUGAAGACCUUUACAGCGUAAACUUCACGCCUUUUGGAAUUGGAUGCCGUCUGUCCAUGACUGUGAGCAUGAGGAGUCAACAACUUUAACAUCAUUUUACUUAGGUUUGAAUACAUAAAAAAAUUAUAUAUAAUAUAAUAUAACAUAAAUUUUACUUAGGUUUGAAUAUAUAAAAGAAUUAUAAAUAAUAUAAUAUAAUAUAAUAUACAGGGUGGGUCCAGGGUUGGACCGAGGACCAACCCGCACAGUGUUGGUCCUGGAAUUUUAGGACCAAGGACCGACCCAGUCCCCUUGGGAACUGGACCAGGACUGGCAGGGUUGGGCCAGUCCAGGGUCGGUCUAGGGUUAACCCUAAACCACUGCUCACCCUUAGGUGGGAGACGGCGGGCGCGUGCCGAGCACGCGCGCGUCCAGCGCUCAGGCGCGUGCCGAGCACGCACCAGAAUCCGCGGGGCGCGUGGAUUCCACGCAUGCAGCGGUUGAGCGCGCGUGAGAGCGCGUGGCGCAUGGGCUCCACGCUCCUGCAACCGCAGCGCGGGCGUGGGCUCCAUGCACCUUCUUCCUCGCGCGAACAGAAGCUUUUCCGUCGGUUUUUCGCCAUUUUCAGCCGCGAUUUCAGCCCCUUUUCUUCUCCGGCAGCCCAUCCCAGACAGAAAUAAAUAAUGGGUUUUGAAGAGCAUGCCGGCACAACUACAUGGGUUCAAGUUUCGGCGAAAAUGAGCAAAAAUUGGCCCCAAAAUCAGACGAAAAUAUCCCAAAACACAAUUCCUUUGACCACCGCGACUUCCGCUGCCCGAUUAGCCUCCGGCGAACACCGAUAUACCGGAAAAACUCAUGGCUAAUGUUCCUUAUGGCGGUGCGGCUGUGCGGGUCCGAAAUCAAGGGGUGGGUCGCCGGAAUUUGCCCGGAAUUUGGGAGUUUCUCUGUUGGCCUCAAAAUCCGAAUUACUGUUCAUCUCUAAAAUGCCCGAAAAACACAUCAAAAAUUCGAGAAAAACAAGGCAGAGGCACUAGACUUGCUCUGAUACCAAAUGUUAGACAUAAAAAUUCAUAUGCGGAAGCCAUGAUCAAUUGAAGACAAACCUCCAGCCAUUGUUCUUGUUCGCAUUCGUCAGAAAAACCUGAAAUCAAAGAAAAUUGGGGACACGCUACUACCCCAAUUCACUCUCGUACUGAUGGUGUAUUCUGAAUGAGAGAGUUUGAGUUAGACCUUGUCAUCACCCGUCAGAAAUGAACGUACGUUCCUUUUAUAUCCCGUCUCCCAUCAAAACGGUUACCUAAUGGACGGUUGUCACGAAAGGGUACGAAGCGUGGAAAAACUUUAUGUCGAACAGUCGCAACUUUAAGAGAAAAUGUAGGUCUAAAAUGUGGGAUCACAAAAAUAAAUAACACCUAGUCCACACACCAUGACAUCCUCUGUGUUUUUCUUUUCAAUGACUUUAGUAUUUUUUACAAUGGAGACCCCUUGAUUUCGAAAGGAUCGAAAAAGGUAUCACCGAACGUAUUCUCACGACAGGUGAUCGGAGCCGGAUAAUCGAGAAUUCCGCGGCACGCUAUCAUGAUCGG
rnacentral:lncRNA from 1 species